CUCGUCUCAACUACAUUUAUUUACUACUUUCUAGGUAAUAACAUACAUAAUAAGAAAUAUAUCAGCCGAAGUCAACUAGAAUGACCAAUACGGUUGAUUCAACUCUUAUCUUAAUAAUACGUCGGCCGGAUCCACUUCGCGUGGUCGGUACGGCCGAGCCUAUAACUCACUAAUUUCUCAUGGUCUGUACAGCUGAACAUAUAACUCAUCAAAUCUCUCUGUACUCACGGUCAAUCCGACCAAACUACUAAGUCAUAACUCUGCUGAAUCGACACUAUGAUAUCAUGGAAAAUUAUUGAGUACAACUGAUUCUAGGGACGAUUCACAAUUCUGUGUCCCCUCUGUUCACAUAAACACAUUCAUUAAUUUCACACUUCCCAAAGUGUUAAUUUUUGUACCUGCUGCACAAAGUACAUUUCCUUUACUCGAGACACCUUGUCUCAAAUAUCUGGGAUUACCAGUAUAUCCAUCACUUUUACUCUGACCAGCGACAUUAAAAACCUCAACUGGAAAAAUUAACUCUAGCUUCACUUCUUUUGAAGCUCUGAGUCUUUCGAUAUUCUUGAUAUGACGAAUCAUUAACUUUAUCGUUCUUUCAUCUAAUUCCCAUUCUUUUCUUAUUCAUCUUUACUCUCGCUGAUCAUAUUCUCAGAGUCCUCAAGGCUCAACAACAUCUCAUAUACUCCUGGUAAGAAAUACCAUGGAUAGGGGUCACCCAAAAAUACCACUUCCUUUUGUCACCCAGCCUAAAACAACAUAACACCUCCACCAAAUUCACAACAAUAUCUGGAUGGAACGAGGCAAGUCUGAAAACUUUCUAUAAUAUCCCUCGAUCAUCACCUUCCUUGUCUCAUAUUUGUAAACUCUUGUUUACUACCAUCAAUAAAUGCCAGAGGGAUAAACUUUUCCUUAAACAAUUUUAAAUCGGUUGUUCCUCCGAUGACAACAAAUCAUACUCCUGUUUCCACCAGGAUACAAAUUCAUACCCAAAACCAGGUAGUCGUCUCGACCCCCUGUCAGAAGGAAGAUUCCUUUGACUUGCAUAAUCUGAAACAUCUUUUCCAAAUGGUUAAACCGUUACUUCGCUCCCUCAGGUUCAUCAUUUCAUAAGGUGAUUCAAAUUCGACUCAUAACCCGUCUUAAAAUGUCCCUUUUUAUAAUAGACUGAAUCACCAUAAUAAUAGUUUUCCCUAAACCACUAUAUUAGGGAGACUAAAUUCCUCUAACUAAGUGGCUUGCUACAAGACGGUGUAGUUCUGACAGAAUUCACUAGAACUUCUCAAAAUGUCCAAGAUUGCAACCAUGCUCUGAUACCAACUGACACACCCCGUCCCGAAGGAGGCAUGCUGGCCGUCACGUGAGAGUGACGUAACCAUUUGCACAGUACGGAAGCUUUAAGAUACAAUUUAUAAGUUGAUACACCCGAAGGUGAGUCCUAAUUUUGUCCAAUCUGUCAGAACCCCGCUGUAUUCCUCGUAGUCACCACACCUUUGUGAUUCCUAAACCUGGAGGGGCGCAAAACCAAAAUUGAGUGGGUCAGUAAAACAAUUCUUUUCCAAAUCCAAACAUUUUUCAAAACGUUGUAACCCCUCUCUGUAAAACCUGUAUAUUUUCCCAGAAAUGUAAAAUAUAAAUAUACAUAUAUAUUCUCAAUACUUUAAUUCAUUAACUCAACAUUUUUUCUUUAUCAAUCAUGCCAUGCCAUGUCUAAUUCAACAGUUAAGUAUGGAUGCAUCAACAGUAAUCAUAUCAGGUGCAAGAAAGUAAUCAACCGGAGGCCCUCUAAUAGCCCUGUACGGUUGAACCUAGAGCUCAAAAUCUAUCACUAUCACUCUACCGGAGUCACCUCUGUGACCCGUCCGGCCUUCUGCACACAAGUUACGCUCUAGUGCUUCUCAUAAAUCAUCUGUGCACAUAAUCUAAGGUCACCCACCAGUCGGAAUCUCACUAACACUCUCGCGACUGGCCUGUCGUACCCACUCCGCGUGGACUGUACGACUAGCAUCUACUUGGAUCCAAGGCGAGCGUGCGAUGCGGUGAAUACUAUAAGCACUAAACCAUGGUGCAGGAUUUGAGCUCAAUAUAUAUCAUCAUCAUCAUAACAGUAAUUAAAUACUCACCUGUGCGUCCACCGCACCAUUUCAACAUAUGCAUCAUAAAUCAAUUCUUACCUGUGCGUCCACCGCACCAAUUCAUACAUAUGCAUCAUAAAUCAAUUCUUACCCGUGCGUCCACCGCACCAAUUCAUACAUAUGCAUCAUAUAUUAAUUCAUGCAUGGCAUUUCAACUCACAUUUCUAUAUACUUUUCAUAUACUUUUAUGCAUUUUCAUUUAAAAGCAUAAUUUCAUGCAUUUUCAAUUUCUGGGAAACGUCAAGUAUAUAUAUUAUAUAUAUACGGGAAAACAAAACUGCCCACUCACCUGGAGUUCGCCCUACAACUCCCUAGCACAAUACGCCAAGGCGUCAUGACGAUCGGCGCCUAAAACAAUAAUCAAUUCCAACCUCAGAAUUCAUAUCGAUAGAAUAUAUAACUUAUAUAAAAUACGUCACUACGUAGAUUGAUCCGGAAGAUCCACCACUCAGAUUUUAAUCCAUAACUUCCAGAGGUCCACAUUAUACCUCUAGGACAACAUCCUAAAAUUUCAUUACCAUCCAACGGUCGGAUCUCCGUCAAUUUCCAAAACUAAGUGACGGUUAACAUUUUAUAUUAUGGACUUACAAUUCCAAUUCCGGAAGAUCCGUAACUCGGAUUCCCAAUCCGUAAGUUCCAAUAAUCCUCAAAAUAUUACGUAUUACAACGUAUCAAAGUUUGGUGACGAUCCAACGGUCGGAUCGUCAAUUCACAUUUUCACCUAAAUGUGAAAAUUAUAAAACGUUAUUUGAACACCUAACCAACAAUCCUCAAUAACUUUCUCAUACGGUGUUCAAUUUAGGUAUAUGAAUAUACCAUAGUGAUCUACUCGACGUCACGGACGUCGACAUAUUUUUAAAAUAAUUUUAUUUUUAUUUUUUAUUUUUUUACUGUAGCACCUUCUUCUUCCUUGGGUCGCCGGACUGGUUUUUUCCGGCGGCCGUUUUCUGGGCAGUUUUUCAAAUUGCCAUAACUUUGUCAUUUCUCAACGAAAUCAAGUGAUUCAAAAACGAAAGUUGUAGCCCUUGAAGAGACAAAGAGAAUGGUACCUUGCACAACACCUAGUUAGCCGUGGUUUGGCCGGAAACUGCCUCGAAAGCCUCGGAGGUCGCCGGAAACUGGGUAUUUUUCAAAUGAGUAUAACUUCUUCAAUACUCAACGAAAUUGAGUGAAACAAAAAUGAAAGUUGUAGUACUUGACGAGACGAAGAGAUUGAUACCUACCUCGACUCCUAACUCGCCGGGGAUUCGCCGGAAAACGCCUCGAAAGCUCCGGCCAAACUUUGAACUUGUCGAUCUCCGUGUUCUUACGUCCAAAAACUUCCAACGAAGCACUCCGAGCUUCCUUGGGACAUCCUAAAGCUCACUAUGAGCUUGGUUUGGCCUAAAACACAACCAAUUCAAAGAUCAUGAACAGUACACAUUCACGGCAACUUUAGAAACUAGGGUUUUCGAAGUGAAACUUACUUGAAAUGGGUAUCAUCGUGAUCGUAUGGUCUUCAGGAGUACGAUGGCACUCUUAAAUCCGUCGUUGGUGGAAGUUUAGGGUGUUUUUGGUGGUGGUCUUGGUGGUUGCCGUGUGUUCGAGAGGGUGAGAGAGAGAGAUCUGAAAUGGAAGAAGAAGAGAGAGAAGGAAAGGUUACGGAAAAUGGGGAGGAAAUUAGGGUAUAGGACCCUACCUAAAGUCCAACACAACAAUAGCUUAGAAAUUUUAGGUAAAACAAACACCAAAUUACGCACCUUAAUCCCGUUUAAGGGCGUUUUUGUAAUUUCACGUCCUCGGAAUUAAAAAUUCCGGGACGGGCUGUGACAUGCAUAAUUUCACAAUCUUGUAUAAAUGAUACAUACUAAUAAAACAUAACGUAAGUUAAUCUUUGUACUACAAAAGCUUUUAUGAUCACAUCAUAAUAAAAUAACGCAUGUUAAAACAUUAGGUAAUUCUCAAUUUAAUACCUUCAAGUAAGGUAAUUUUCAAAUUUUUAUACAUCAAAUUUUUUUUGUCCCAAUUUCAUACCCUUAUUUUUUUUACGAUACUUGAUGCAUGCAACAAUUCAAACACGAGAGACAACAAAUCCACAUAAUAAAUUAGGUUAGAAAGAAAGAAAUAUAGCAUAAAAUUACCCAUUUGGUAAACUGGUUCCUCUUGUUCUUUGUUCUAAAAAGACAAUAGAGCAAAAUUCUAAUAGAAAGAAAGAGACACCAAGGGCAAAGCUUACAAGUUCCUCUUCCUCUUUGUUUUUAGUACUAGUUUCUCAAGUAACUUAAAAAGAUAAUAAAACAUAUAAGACUACUAUUAUUAGUAUUUUAAAAUUUAAUUGUGCAUUUUUUACGAGCAUUUUACUUUAUGAAAUAUAAAAUAUUUGGAGUGCUAUAACUUUUUUAAACAUAAUUAACUCUUUUUAAAAUCGCAACGUGGGUCCAAAAUUUCUCUUCACUUCCACUUUUACCUAAAUUUGCCAAUAUUUUUAGUGUUACACGUGUAUUUUAAUCCUCUUGGAAAGUCCCCAAAACAUGAAAAAACAUUUUUGUUAUUUGUUUGGAUAAAUGAAUAUGAAUUGAGAUAUUCUCCGGAUUAUGUCUGAAGUUAACAAAUUCGGAAAUUUGAACCACUCGAUUGAAUCCUUCAAACCCUAAUGCAUUGACCAUCUUUACAUAAAAUCUGAAUUUUUUUUCUUUCAAAAAAACGAUAUUAUCAUAAAGAUGAAAAAGUAGAUUAAGUCUUAUAUUUAGUUUAUCAUAAUAAUAUAAUUCAAAUUUUCUUUUAACGAAAGUUAAAUCUAAAAUUCUUAUUGUAGCAGGAGAUGGGGCCAUGCCCUGUAGAACUACUUUAAUUGAAUAGUGUGAUUACUUUUAUGUCGUUUAAUUUGAAAAAAAAAAAGGUGAGCAGGCCAAAUGCCAACGAAGGCCAAGACAAUCCAUGCACGUGACCCGCCAGAAACUUACCUGCAAUCUUUGCCCUUUUGCAUAGGCCAUCCCAUUUUUCUCUCUGAUCAAUUCCACACUUCCCUUCAGUCCAAUCACCACCCCUAUCUUACUUUUUUAUUUUUUGUCCCCCUAAUUUAUACUUUUUCUUUUUGAAUUUCUUUUAGCCUCUCAAAUAAAAAAAUUGGUCCAAAUCGCAGACUACAUCAUUGGUGAUACAUAAUUUAUAAGAACUUGAAAUUCUUACAUAAUUUGGAUAGAGAGUGUUUGACCGCGUUAUUCGUGGACAUGAGAUUUUUGGUAUUUUGAUCAGUCUUGUUAUCGUGCAAUCAUGUCGAGUUAAGCUGUAUAUGGUCUACCGAACCUAUUGAUGAUUUAGAACCUAUUCGGAAUUGUUAAUAAAAAUCAUUAAAAGGCGAACACAUUGAUGAUUUAGAAUCUAUUCGAGACUGUUAAUGAAAAACACUAAAGGUGGACCUAUUGAUGAUUUAGAACUUAUUUGAGAUUGUUAAUGAAAAACAUUAAAAGCCAUUGAUGAUUUAUAAUGAGCUCGAGACUGUUAAUAAAAACGUUAAAAGUAAUUUUUAAUAACUAAAAAUAGUUCUGACAACGUUUGAAAAACAUAAAACAUUAUUAGCAAAAAUGCUUCCUUGCUAAGUGGAUAUUCACAACGUAAUUCCAAACGCUUGAUCUUUAAUUAAAAUUUUAACGUUUUUAAUCUAAACACUUCAAAAAAAUAACAUUUACAAUCAAAAGUACAUAUAAAAGAAAAGAAAACUAAUAAAAAGAACUUGAAAACUUUGAGUUUUAACGAUAAUGACAAAAUAAAGAGUAAAGUAAAUAGUAUCAAGAUUGAUUUUUUAAUAUAAAAAUAUAAUUUUUCGUUAAAAUGAACAUUACCGGAAACUUUUCUUUAAAAUUCUAGUAGAAGAAGUCACAAAUUACUUCGGUGUCAAUAGCAACCCCAAUCAUUCAUCCCUACCAAGUUGUUUCCCUCCCAAAUAAUCAAAAACCCUAUUUUUCACUGCCCUUUUGUUUUUCCUUCUUUUUAAAAAGGCACAAAUUUUCUUUUUUAGUUGAUGGGUUCUGUUGGCAUCUGUAUCUGUGUCUCGAGUUUGGCCCUUGCAUUGGCCCUUGCGUGUUUGGUUUUUUCUGGUGUGGGUGAGUGAGUUUCAUUUCACGCUCCUUUUCACUCUUUGAAUGGAAAUUCACUCCUUGUAAACCAAGAUAAUGGUGGUGGUGGUGGUAGUGGUAUUGCAGGAAUCACAAAGGAAGGACUGAGCUCGCCUACAAACCAACAACACAGCCCACAUGGAAUUUAUGGGGAUCGCCCAAAACUUAUAGAAAAUCAAACCCACUACUUUCAGAUCUCUAGGAUCCCAUAUAUCCAGGCUUGUAUCUGUUUGUUUCUCGAGAAAAUUCUCUCCCUUUUGCUGCUUGUCUCAGCUCAUACGGUGCGCAUUCUCCUUAGUUUGAUUCGGAUUUCCGUUUCCGAGCAAGGUGCUUUCUGGGAAAGUGAUUUUAGCAAUUGGAUUUUUGUUUCCUUCAAGUUUCAUCCACAAAGACACUGACUUUUUCUGGAAGUGAAAAGCCGGAAAGAGCAGUGGGGUUUGCUUUCUAGGAUUCUGAUUGUGAAACUGCUGCAUAUUCUGGAUAAGGCAAUUGGAUAAUGGCUAAUGCUUUUGGUGGUUGUGGUGCUUUUGAAUAAAAGCUGCUUCUUGCUCUAAUUAGCACAAAGAAAGUUGAAUGAGGAGAGAAAAAGACAACAUGGGAAGAAGCACUUUCACGUUGUGGAAAUUGGGUUUACUUGUUUUGGCACUGGUGGAGGCUGCUUCUGCAACUCUUUCUCCUACUGGUGUAAAUUAUGAAGGUUCAUUAAUUUUUUCAUUAAUAUUUUAAGAGGAAAACACCAUAUAUAUUUUUUUUCCUCAAUUUGUUCAGUUAAUGCUCUCACUAUUGCAUUGUCUCAAUUGGGUGUAGCCUAGGAUUUGCUUUUUUUUUUUUUUUAAACAAGAAAAUGGAAAAGAAAAUUCCUGCAGAAAAUAACCCUUUUAUCUUGGUUUUGGAAAUGUUCACAGUUGAAGCAUUGGCGGCCAUUAAAAGCGAUCUACGUGACCCACAUAACGUUUUGGAGAACUGGGAUAGUAACUCUGUAGAUCCCUGCAGCUGGAGGAUGGUUACUUGUACUCCUGAUGGCUAUGUAUCUGCUCUGUAAGUUCUUCCGGAUAUUUAUGGCUACAAAAAAAAAAAAAUAAUUCAGAGUUUUCUUUACUAUUUGCCUAUUUGAUGAAUUAUUUUCUCGGUAAAUGAUUCUUAUUUUUUGUGUUUAGGGGAUUGCCUAGCCAGAGCUUGUCCGGUAUCUUAUCUCCGGCGAUUGGAAACCUCAGUAACUUGCAAUCUGUGUAAGUUUGCACCUCCUUCAUGUCGUUUUUUAUUUGCUCCUGUGAAAUUUGAAUGCGAAUUGAUAUUGUGUUGCAGAAGUGUUUUGAUUUGAACAAACGCGACUGUUUUACUUUUGCAGGUUGCUUCAAAACAAUGAGAUUUCGGGUCCAAUUCCUGCUUCAAUUGGGAAUUUGGAGAAGCUUCAGACACUCGACCUCUCCAAUAAUAAUUUCAAUGGUGACAUACCAGAUUCAUUGGGCAACCUAAAGAACCUGAAUUAUUUGUAAGUUUCAAAAUCAUCUUAUUACCUCUUUUAAACUUCGAUAACCACGUGAAUUUAGCUAAUGCUUACACCUUUUUCUCUUGUUUUUCGAGCAAGACAGGCGGUUAAACAACAACAGCCUUACAGGACCCUUCCCCGAGUCUCUCUCCGCAGUUGAAGGUCUCACUCUUGUGUAUGUCUUUUCCCCCUUCUUUUGUGUGUUCUACUUUUUUUUUUGCAGUAUGAAUGGGAAAACCUAUAAGUCGAGUUUUGUUUGUUGAUAAUUUCAAUGAACAUUUGUGUAGGGACCUUUCUUUCAACAAUUUGAGUGGUUCCUUGCCAAAAAUAUCCGCACGAACUUUCAAGUGAGCUAUAUUGUUUUUCGAUCCACUAAUGUGUAGUUACUCGUAGAGUUUGGUUCCUUUCUCAGCCUUAUUUUCUUUUCACUUCAGAAUUGUUGGAAACCCUUUAAUUUGUGGAGUAAAGUCUGAGAACUGUUCUGCAGUCUUUCCAGAGCCACUAUCCUUCCCACCUGAUGCUCUAAAAGGUAUAUUUGCACGUUUGGUUUAUGUUCCUUCCUUUAGUCUUCCUUGUGACACUGGUGAUUCAUGAAUUUUGCUUUCUUAGAAUCAGACUCUGGAACAAAACGCCACCACAUGACUAUUGUCCUCGGUGCAAGCUUCAGUGCUGCCUUUGGUGUCAUAAUAAUUAUUGGGUUACUUGUUUGGCUGCGAUAUAGACACAACCAGCAGAUAUUCUUCGAUGUCAAUGGUAAGUUUUCUUAUAUGUAAUUUUCCUGCUUUUCUAGAUUGCAAUACUAGUAUCUCAGAUAGCUUAACAUCUUGAUAGGGGUGCUUGAAUUUUAGGUGGUAUGGUUCCGAUUCGUCCUUUUAUUACUUACCUUAAGGGCCACACUGCCCCAACUCUUUAAUAAUGGUGCAAGUCUGAGUGUGUGAAUGUUUCAAUCAGUAAUCUUUCAGAUUUCAGCUUUUGAUAUUUUGGUAAAAUGUGGUAACAUUCAUUAGAAAUGAAUAGUUCAGAAAAUUCCAAAUCCAAGGGCUUGUUCUCUCUUCAAUUUUUUCUAUCCAAACACAACAAAAAAGAUUUUGUACGUAAAAAACGCAAGAGUCAAUUUGGUCAUAUAAAGAUUGUUAGCACAUGAUGGUAAUAGGAGAUAAUAAUAAUAAUAAUCAUAAUAAUAAGAUUCUCAAUACUUGGGAGCAGCCUCUCCAUAAAUGGGGGUAAGGCUAGCCGACGUUCACCUCUCCCAGACCCUGCGUAAAGCGGGAGCCUUGUGCACUGGAUCAAGAACAAAAUAAGAUUCUCAAUACAUGACUAAAAUCUAAAUCAUGAAUAACCCUUUCCUUUUGUAGUUAGGUAAUCUUAGGGAAAGUGUUUUGAGUCGUUGAACCUUCUCUUUCGGUGAACCCUUAGGAUUUGAAUUGUACUUUGAGAAUUUCUUGAUAUUGUUUCAUGCAACCAGUGAUACUCUUUUUCCCCGCCAACGAUAAUCCAUGAAUUCUUAAUCUGGUGGAUUGUGCAGCAGAUCAGUAUGACCCAGAAGUGUGCUUGGGGCAUUUGAAGAGGUAUACAUUUAAGGAGCUCUGGGCAGCAACAGACCAUUUCAACUCAAAGAACAUUCUAGGUAGGGGUGGUUUUGGGAUUGUAUACAAAGGAAGCUUGAGCGACGGGACUCUGGUUGCAGUUAAAAGGCUGAAGGACUACAGCACCACUGGUGGUGAGAUCCAAUUUCAAACAGAGGUUGAGAUGAUUAGUUUGGCUAUCCAUCGGAAUCUUCUGAGGCUUUGCGGGUUCUGUUCAACCGAGAACGAAAGACUUCUUGUUUACCCUUUUAUGCCUAACGGAAGUGUAGCCUCUCGAUUAAGAGGUUAGCAUGUUGUUUUAAUUCUGCUUGCUGUUAUGUCACCCUCUAAUCAGAACCUAGCAUCCUAUAAUCUCAUCUCCAGUCCAACGCCCGGUACUUCCAAAACUAAGCUGCAAAACGAUAUAAAAAAUUACUUUAUUCAACCUAACAUGUUGAUAAUGAUUCAACUAAUAUAAACCGUUUAUUAUUGUCCAGCAUUUCAUUGAUCGCAACCAUUUGUGUUCCUUGUUAUCUGUUCAAUUUGAGAGUAUUCUUGUAGCGCUAAGUUGACAAUAUUCAAAUCUGACAUGCGACUGUUGCUAAAUCCCUUUUUUGCAUUCUGUGUGUUUUUCCCCAGAUCAUAUACAUGGUCGACCAGCUCUAGACUGGGCAAGGCGAAAGAGAAUAGCCUUAGGUACAGCCAGGGGUUUGGUUUAUUUGCAUGAGCAGUGUGACCCAAGAAUUAUCCACCGUGAUGUUAAAGCCGCAAACAUUUUGCUCGAUGAAGACUUCGAGGCAGUUGUUGGAGAUUUUGGGUUGGCAAAGCUUUUGGAUCACAGAGAAUCUCAUGUGACCACAGCUGUCCGCGGCACUGUUGGUCACAUCGCUCCAGAAUACUUGUCAACUGGUCAGUCAUCAGAUAAAACUGAUGUGUUCGGGUUUGGGAUCUUACUCCUGGAGUUAAUCACAGGUCAAAAGGCUUUGGACUUUGGACGAGUUGCAAACCAGAAGGGUGUAAUGCUUGAUUGGGUACGCUAUCUCUCCCUUUCGCUCUCUCACACAGACAUGCAUGCUCAUAUGUAAUAUUUACCUAAUUGCAUGUAUGAAAUAACUGUGAUCUCAAUGUAAUGUUUGAUUGGGUAACACUCUCUCUCCCUUUCAAACCACGUAUUAACACGUGGCCGUUGGCGUUCCCUCCUGUUUCUGUCCUGAUGGUACAUACAUGUGAUCCUUAGAGCGUUGCUAGAAGUGUCAAGAAACUUGGCUUGUUACAUGAAAUAUUAAUGUGUUACUUGCAUAACUGCAUUAACGCAGAGUUGGUUUUUUCACUGCUGAUAUACGUGUGAGAAAAUACCAUGCACUACAAAGAAAAAUGUCUUUCAACAACUCACAUGGUUGUGCAACACAAAUGCAGGUGAAGAAGCUCCAUCAGGAGGGAAAGCUAAAUCUCAUGGUGGAUAAGGAUCUGAAGGGGAAUAUCGACAGGGUUGAACUGGAAGAAAUGGUUCAGGUUGCCUUGUUAUGUACUCAAUUUAAUCCCUUGUACCGACCAAAAAUGUCAGAAGUAUUAAAGAUGUUGGAAGGUGAUGGCUUAGCCGAGAAAUGGGAGGCCUCGCAGAAGGUGGAGACACCGAGGUUCCGGUCGUGUGAACACCCGCGUCAAAGAUAUUCAGAUUUUAUAGAAGAAUCUUCGCUUGUGGUAGAAGCUAUGGAGCUUUCUGGCCCUAGGUGACAACCUUUUUUCAAAAUUUUCCCCUGUAUACCAUACCUCCUCUCUUCGUUAAGUUAAUUUAAGUUUGAAAUAUCAGAAAUAUGUGAUUGUAUUCAUCUGUAAAAAUGAGAAAGAAAAGUCCAUGUAAAAGCUGCUUUUUUUUUAUCGCUUUUUCUUUUUCUUUGUUGGAAAAUCAAUUGAGUUGAUUGAGGUUUCUGUCAAAGAGAUUUUGGAGUCAUUUCAGAAAUUUGUAUGUAGUUGCUUUUGUUCUAGUUUUAUUAAUAUUUGAGAUUCAUAAAACAGAAAACCAUAGCAGGCUUUCGGUUGUUGUUUCUUUGGGUUCAUGUAGGUCUGUGUUACUUAGUAUGUUAAAUCAAUAACGUAAUGUUGUUUCACUUCUCUCACGUGGUAGUGCCUUGUUAAAUUGGAAGAUGAGAAAUGCUAGUGAGCUUUUUUCAAAAUUGGAACUUUUCAUGGACUCUUCUUCGGUCUAUGUUUUUUGGCACAUUAUCUUAUACGUUAAACUACGAGUUAACAUAAAGUUCAUGGAGAGUCCCCUUAACAUUUCUCUUGGAAUACUAUCCCAGUGGCACAGAUAGGUAUUCUUCCGAUUGUAAGAGAUGGUAUCCAAGAUUUUCAAACCAACGGACUAGGAUGCUCUUUCCUCCUAAUUCCCUCUCCUCCCCGACCCCUGCUCUUACACUUUCUUGUUUCUCUUUCUCUCUAUAUAAAAAAAUCAAUACAAGAUGUUAACACGAUUUAAACGUAAACAUUCAAGUCAAAAAAAGGAGGAAAGGAGAAGGAGAUUAACACGAGAGAAGAUCCUACUCCCAAACGAAUUAUGCAGAAGAAUGACCCAAAGGACAAUUGUGCCAUAGCCUAGCAAGUAAAAGCCCAUGGGCCAAUGAGUUCCAAAUUCCAACCCAUAAUUUACAUAGGUUGAGUCAAAUGUAUCAGUAAUUCAGUAUCCCUUUCUUCCUACAGUUGUCGAGCUUUUCUUAUCAAAGCAACUCCGCUUUUGCAAAAGAAACAACAAAGAAGCAGAAGACUCAUCCAAAACCUUAUUUUUCACUUGCUCCUUUUUCAUUUUGCUAGCUAAAUAUAUUAUGUACACAUAUUUUCUGGUAUGUAUAUCAUUUAUACAUAUGGUUACUCUUAAACACUCAUUAAUUAACGAAGUUACUAUCAAGAGCUUGAAAAAUUCGUAAUGCGUUCAUUAUAAUACACUUUUAUAAGGAAGAAGUGCAUAGUGAUUGUUCGGUAUAUUAAUAACAUUUCUCUAAACUAAAACUUGUGUGAUUGUAAUGUUUUCUUGUUGGUACAUAAGUAACGAUAUGUUUUGGUCCUUAAAUGUAAUAUUUUAGGCAGUAAAAGUCAUAUUUUAGGUUUUCAAACAGUAUUUUCUCUUAACCGUGCGUUGCUAUAUUAAAUGUUGAACAAGUAAUUUCCUCUCAAUAUGUUUUUUUGUUAAUUUUUUUGAAAAAAAAAUUAGGGUUUUGGGGUUUCAUUAAACUGUUUCUAUUACUUGUCGUUAAUUAGAAAAACGAAAAAUUAAAUACUUUAUUUAACGAACAAGAAUAACGUUGGACUGGUACGAAUCUUGGAGCAUUGCAAUGAUGCAAUCCAUGCAGACAAAACUUGUUUCUGUGUUUCGCGUGCAGCGUGCUCCAGCCACCUGGAAGACAUCACAGUCGCCGACGCACAGCUUCCCACAGACUCCACCACCACGCGUCACAAUCCCAACGGAUGGAGUGAACGGCAAUCGCUAUCAAUGUUCCAUGGGCCUCAGAACUCCGCCACGUGUCCUCGUAUGUGUCGGCGGGAACAAUCCUAUAUGUGUCAUUCGGCAGUUAAUACCAGAAAACUCAAAAUUUCAAAAGCACUUCUCCCAAAGCUACCCUUCCGCUUCGUACAUUAAUGACGCGUUUUAUUUACUCCGAAACCCUUUCCAAAAUGACUAAUCUGCCCACAGCUUAUACGAUACACCUCCAGAUUCGGAUGUAAAUUGAGGACAAAAUGAAGGGUAUUUACGUCUACGAAAUUAGAUGUCGACGGGUAUCUUUGUAAUUGUAUUUUUCUCGCUGUCGCUCUCUCUCUCUCCACGCCAAAGAGCAGAAGCAGCCCUUACUGUUCCAGCACUCUGCUUUUCUACGCACCGCUCCCUUAUCUGUCGUUUAUCUUUUUUAUUUAAUUUUGUGUAUUUUUUCUUCCAUAUUUUCACAAAUGUAAGGAUGUCAUUCCACGCUUCGUCUUGCUUAUCUCCUCUCCUGAUCAUGCAAACGAAAUUCACAUUUCACUCGCAUUUGCAGUAGAUCCUCUGCAUUGUCUUUCAGCCAUGGUUUGGAAGAAGCCUGCAUUUCCCGAGCAGUUUUAUUCACCCAAAAGAAAGGUUAUUUCUGGGUUUGGUUUAGGAAUUGGAGUUUCAGUGAUUGUACUCGGUGUACUGUUUUUUACCGACUUCUUUAAGACUCCUGCAGUGGAAACUUCGAUUCAAGGGUUUUACAGUUUGAAUUCUUCUUCUGUUUCAUGGCCUUUCUCCUUUUCCAGCAGUUCAGAAACGCAGGAUUUUGUGGACAAAACGCAUGAAGCAAAUGAGUCAAUAGUUGCUGGGAAGCAAAAUUUUACUGAUUUGGAGAAGCCCCAUUUGGGGAAUUUUACAGAGGAGGGUAAGGAUGGAAGCUUUGGGGUUGGAGGAGAAAUGGGUAAGCAGAAAAACAGUGAGAAGGGGUCAGCAAUUGCUGAAAACGGUAACUUUUUGAAUUCAAAUGGGGGAGGAACUAGUUUGGAGAUUGCCCAUUUGGGAAACUCCUCUGAGGUUUCGAAAAAUGGAAGCUUGCAUGGUGAGGAAGGGAGGGUUAAUGGGAAUCUUAGCCUGUCUGGGAAGGAAGAUAUGCAUGCAGAGAAGGCAGUUGAAGGUAGUUUUUCAAGGAAUACUAGUAGUGUGGAUGGUAAUGCUGCCAAAAUUGUGAAGAAGAAAAGGGCUUGGAAGGCAGCGCAUCGAGGAAAUUCGACUGUGAAAAUCGCCGACUAUGAUUCUCAAAUGGGGAAAAUGCAGACUGAUUUGUAUCAGAAAUGUGAUAUUUUUAAUGGUAGGUGGGUGAGAGAUGAUUCAAAGCCAUAUUAUCCUGGAGGUUCUUGCCCAUACAUUGAUAGGGAUUUUAAUUGUCACCUCAAUGGGAGGGCAGACAGUGCUUUUAUAAAAUGGAAAUGGCAGCCAAAUGAAUGUGACAUCCCAAGGUAAAAUCCAUCUUCAAUUUCUUGAUGAAUUUUGUGUUUUUGAGCUUAAAAGAAAACUUUAAUCUAAUGAAUUUUGUGUUUUUAAAGAAGUGCUCUAACAUUGAAUAUGUGAGUUAUGCUCGUUGGCCUGGGCAGUGUGCCCGCCACCCGUGCACCUAAGUCCUCUUUUACUCGUAGUUUAGAGUAGUUUAGAAUAUCGAUUCUUCUAAAAGGAAAGUGCUCUAGCAUUUUUAUGUAGCGGUCAUUGAACUUCUGCCAUGUAAAUCUUCUUCUCAUGCCUUUGUUUCUUACUCAUGUGAUCCUCAGUCUGAAUGCCACUGAUUUUCUGAUGAGGUUGAGGGGAAAGCGGUUGGUUUUUGUGGGGGAUUCACUGAAUAGGAACAUGUGGGAAUCUCUGGUUUGUAUUCUUCGUCAUGUCAUUCGAAACAAGAAAAGAGUUCAUGAGAUUUCUGGGAAGAAGGAAUUUAAAAAGAAGGGCGUUUACGCAUUCAGAUUUGAGGCAAGUGUCAUACAUCUUUGUAUGUUCUAAAAACAAUCAAUAUUUGGAAUGAAAAUGUCUAAUCAUCCAUGCUAUUGCCGCACUUGCAGGAUUAUAAUUGUUCAGUGGAUUUCGUUGUUUCUCCAUUCCUUGUUAGGGAAUCAUCAUUCACGAGUAAAAACGGUACGUUUGAGACAUUAAGGUUGGAUUUGAUGGACCGGACAACUUCAAUGUACCAUGAUGCGGAUGUCAUAGUUUUUAACACUGGACACUGGUGGACUCAUGAAAAAACAUCUCGAGGGUGCGCACCGUUGUUUGCUUUCUAAAUCCCUUGCAGUGUGCUACCAAUCAAACUACUAUCUCACUUGACUGAUUUAUCUCAUUUUUGCAUUUGGUGGUUUCACAGAGAAGAUUACUACCAAGAAGGCAAUCAUGUGCAUCCAAGACUCAAGGUUCUUGAAGCAUACAAGAGGGCUCUCACCACUUGGGCCAGAUGGGUUGACAAGUAUAUUGAUGUCAACCGGACUCAGGUUUUCUUCAGAGGAUAUUCAGUUACCCAUUUCAGGUAUCGGACGAUGUUUUCUCGUCACUUUGACUCACCUCUAUAUCGGUCUCAAACUUUUGAAUGUUGUUGUUGUUGUUGGAGGAAUCCCAUUUUGCUCCUUUCAGGAAGUUUAUAUUUGUUUAGAUUUCAAUGAAAAUGGAACUGUUUAAUUUGGUUGUAGCGGAGGGCAAUGGAACUCAGGCGGACAGUGCCACAAAGAAACGGAGCCAAUCUUUAACGAAACUUAUUUAGCGAAUUACCCCUCAAAGAUGAGAGCUCUAGAGCAUGUACUUAAAGAAAUGAAAUCUCCGGUGAUUUAUUUAAACAUAAGUAGGCUUACCGAUUACCGAAAAGACGGACACCCUUCCAUUUACAGAAUGAAAUACAAGACAGUAGAAGAACAAAUUACGGCUGAGAGGUCUCAGGAUUGCAGCCAUUGGUGCUUGCCUGGAGUUCCAGAUGCUUGGAAUGAAUUGCUAUACGCCGCUCUUUUGAAGGCCGGAUGGGGAUCACGCAAAAACUGAAGAAAUUUGUAUGCAAUCGUUUGGUAUUCUUUAAUCGUAUCGGCUUAAUUUUGUGUACUGUGAGAGUUUCUUAAGUAGCCUUUUACAUGCUGAUAUUGGUCAUCACUUUUCUUCUUUUCCUUUUUUCUUGUACACAAAAUUUGGUCAACAAAAGUUUAAUGAAUUUUCUCAAAUUGGAACAAUUUGCAAAUUACAGGGACAAAAUUCGAUUCAAUACAAUCGAAAUAAAGAAUGCAUGAAUGAAAGUGAAACUUUGUGAAUGAGUACACGGACUAUGAACAUGCUUUGUCCUUGUGUAAAUGUAAAUUCCUGAUCUAAUAUUUGACAACAAAAGUAGACGAUUUUAGCACAAAAAUCUCCAUCGUGCCGGAUGUAUGAAUUGAGCACCCGAGACGCCUUAAAUGCUUGAAUCAUCAUAUACUCCAGGUUUUGAGUGGAGCUCUAAAUCUUGUAGCACAUAGCAUGCUGCAUCUUCUCUAAUAACUUUCUUUAAACAAGGAUGCACUUGUCCUUUAAUGUUUCACUAGAACACAAGCCACACACAAAAUGAGCACAAUCUCUUAACAAAUAUACACUUCACCGUGUCUACAUAAACAAAGAUGAAAAUUACCUUCACCGCAUGAUUGAUAAAUUGAUUUGAUAUAUAAUUAUACAUAGCUUCUCCCAAUAUACCAUACAAAAUGAAAGAUUAUGGUUUUGAUUAGGUUGAAGAACUAAACUAUAUAUGGGAUGAUAUUCACAUACAAAAUGCAAACGAGCUAAACUGUAGAGUUAAGAAUACAGGCAUGCAAUGGGCAUUCCAGUGCAUCUGUUCUGCUCAUUACUAACUAAUUAGUAUGAAAAGGGAGACAAUACGAUUUACUUUGCAAUAUUGAACUGAUGUCAUCGACUGGCCAUGUUAGCAGGAAGCAGACUUAAGAAGCGAGAUAAAGCGCCAAAAAAAGAGAACAAAUAAUAUCUACCAUUUUUCCAAUUUCUGCAUAACUAAUAAAUCAAAUUUAUCAUCACACCAUAAGAAAAAUAAAUUCCAACACGUACAUUCACAAGAAGGGAGUAAAACCAAAGGUGUUACUCAUUUUGCAGCAGAUGAACAGAUAAACAGAAGAGUGCUAACCGUCUGCUCAAAAUACUACCGACACUUGUUUUAUUACAUUUAAUACUGGAACUUAUAUAAACAUUACAGAACAAAAAAGAGAGCCAUAGGGACUCAUGACUGAGUCCGUUGCCGAUUUGUGACUUGCCGGUUCGCUAAGCACGAGCCCAAACCUCUGCUACCUCCAGAUCAUAUGAUCAGUAUGUAUGAUAAUUGCACUUGGUGUAGUUGCAGCAGCCAUUGACUGAGCUCAGACUAACUGUUUGAGUUUUGGAGGAGGUUUGAGGCAAAUCCUCACUCCAUGUCCAAUGCUUUUAAGCCCCAUAUUUUGGAUAAUGGGGUCUUAAAAUCAGUGGAGAGAUUAACCCGCUGGCUAUUGGCUUUAAAUACUUGAUCAGCAAGUGAGGGAUAUGCUCUGUAGUUGAAAACUUGACAACCCGUCUACUCCUCCACUAACGUAAAAAAUUAUGCCACAUGCUUUUACUUUGAAAAAAAAGAAUAACUAAUGAAAAAUAUUUGAAAAUUUUGAGUUUUAAUGAUAAAGAUAAAAUAAAGGGUAAAGUGAAUAGUAUCAAGAAUGACUUUUUAAUGUAAAAAUAUGAUUUUUUGUUAAAGUGAACAAUACCGAGAGUUUUUCGUUAAAGCUCCCUUUAAAAAUUUCACCAUCAAAAGUAAACAGAAAAAGUCUCACCAGAUUACCAUCUUGCCCUUUCACCUAAUGUCCAUGCAGUUCUGCAGAACACAAACAUUUUUCUGGUUCCUCAGACUGCAUAUGGAAAAAUUUACGACGAGGGGCUUGUUGAAAAUUAUGAAAUCUCACAGGAUUAUUAGUGUAAGAGAAACAUUAAAAAGGCAGCUAAACUACCUUUUUUAGUGCAUUACUUUUCUAAUUAUUGGGGGUUUUUAAUACUUUUUAUGUAGCACAGUGGAUCCACUCAGUUAUCACUCAUGCUCAUCUACUCCUUUUUCCAACUCAAAUCCCUCUAAUUAGCCGCUAAUCUCCUGUGCAACUAACACUGAAGCCCAAACUGGUUAAACCUAGCGCUAGCUAGCUUAGCUAACUCCAUCGGUCACAGCUUGUUAUCAAAUUGUGUGUGUUUUUGGAGGACUUCGACACUGUGGCCAUUAUUGACAAGCAAUGGACCGUGUCAUUGCAUUUGCAUGUGUGGACAUCUGCUUUGAAGUGGAAAGUGGGGCAUUAAACUUUUAUGAGCUGCAAUUGUAGUGGUAUUUCAAAUUAAUUACACACUGUAACAAUAUUUUAAGAUAAUUGGGAAUUAUUCCCUUGACGACUCUAAUGAUUUUUCUUUCACCCAAAAAGAAGUGGUACGUGCUUAGACUCUCCACCAAGGCUUCAUCUUAUUGGAUGUUUCUUUAUGCACUACAAAGAAAGAAAGCAAGAAUCAGUACUUGAUGUGCAAUCUCACUUCUGCUUUAUCUGUUUAUUUCAUUUGUUCAUUGAUGCUAUAACAUCAUGAAAUUAAUCAACCUUCUUACGCCGAAACAGAUUGCAGAUUUUGAUCCCUAUUUCGACCAUUUUUGUCUUGUUUUGUCUUGCCAAUGUUGUGCAAGAACAAGCAAACCUAGGUAAGUGAGGCACAACAGUACAAGGUAGAUGAUAAGAAAAAUCAACUUAAUUUAGUCACAUGAAAUGAUAAAAGUGUUGUGUAAUGCUUGCUCUUAGUUGUCUUCCACCUCGUAUUGGUGAUAGAAAAUCCCAUAUGAAAUGAUAACCUCUAUCAUUGAAUCAAUUUCUGUGAAACGAAAUAAAUUAUUACCAGCACUUCAGAAUAGUCGAUUUUUACUUUCCUAUCUUUUAUUUUGUUCAACCUCAAAGGUGACUGAAGUUGUGACCUUUCUGUUCAAAUUACGAGAGUUCCAAUCCAAAGACAUCCAUCUAUGUUGAUGAGGGGCGUUCUCUAUCUAGUGCACAUGACAUGUUAUAUGCACAUUUAGCUUAUAACCAUUAGUAAAGGAGAGAAGAUGAACCCUGCCAACGACUCAAUGAAGGGAGGAGAGAGGAAAGAAAACAGACAGCGACUCACGGUAAAUUUUCUACCGGGUUUCCAAUUCGGGUUUCAUUGACUAGAAUGUAAUUUAAGCUAAAGAUUCAUCUCAUCCGUUGAUUUAAACCUUACAAUUACUGUUUAUAUGUGUAUUUAAUAUGCAUAUCUAGAAAUGUGCACCAGAGAAAAAUUGAUUGAUGUUGGAACCGAACCGGGGAUUUUAAACUUAUGGGACAACAACAAUAGCACAGCCCAAAGUGAAGUAAGGGAAACUCACUUUUCUUGGGCCAGUUCACAUUAGUGACAACAACAAAUCAACAAAACUCAACAGAUGUUUAUUAUUUUCUUUCUAAGAAAUGCCAAAGAGACUUUCGUAAAAUGAGAUUUUCCAUAGAUUAUCUACACCUAAGAGUCUAAAGACCAUCUUCAAAGAAUAUGUUAAAUUAUAAGAGUCAAAUUACAAUUGAUGACUGAUGUGGCAAUCUGAAAUCUUGUGUCAAAUUUUGUACUUUUUUCGAUCGAAUUGUCAAAUAUUAUUUUAUUAUUUAAAAAGAACUUUAAAUGUUUGUAGUUAUUAAAAAAAUGUUAAAACAAAAUUUUAAUUGGUUGAAAUGUUAGUGGAAUAAGGGACUCACUAUUAAAAUGAAUUAAAAAUAAUUUGACAUUGAUGUCAAAUUUGAUUCCAAAUUACAAAGCCUUCAAAUCUAGUUAGCAAAUAACAAUUCGAUUGGAGAGACUUUUGAUGUCAAAUAUGCACAAUGGCAUUCCACCUAGGAUUUUGACAUUUCCUCCAGAGAUGCUCUAAGGUUAUUGUUACAAAUUUCAUGCCAAAAACACGAGGUGACAGAGAGUCCAAAGAGAAUCUCCCUUUUGAAAGUCUCCUUAGCAUUUCUCUUUCUUGUAUGGCUCUUCGUCGCAUUUGUCGAAGAAUUCUAUGCAUUUAUUUAUAGGAAAACUAAUGAAAAAAAACUUAAAAACUUUGAGUUUUAAUCAAAAUGACAAAAAUGAGUUGUACGUGAAUAGUACCAUGAGUGACUUUUUAAAGUAAAAAUGUCAUUUUAGUUAAAAGUGAACAGUACUGGGAGUGUUUCGUUAAAACUUCCUUUAUUUAUUGGCAUUUGGAAUAAGAAGUAGGAUUAUCUCCCUUCUAAAUUUCAUCUCCUCCUCUCUCACUUUUCUCCGUCUUUUUUUCUAUAAAAAAAGUCAACACAAAAUAUUGACGUAACCUUAUUGUGAGCAUUCAAAUAAGAAAGACUAAAGGGGAGGGAAAUUUGUAACAGAGAGAAUCCUACUCCUUACAAUAAUGGGCACCACCUCGAGCAAGAAUUAGUAGACAAAAUCACCGCCCAAUGUGACUACUAAUAUUAAUUAACAUAUCGAAUGUUGCCGACUGACAUUGCUCAGAUUCGUAUUCGUAUUGCUCUGCCAUUUAGAUUAAUAGUAAGCAACAAUUUCACGCGUAAAAUUGCUGACAAAAUUAUCAUCCAAUUUUUUAGAGCCGUUUAAGGUGUUAAGUGUCGUUUUAAUUAAGUUUGACUUUGUUAACGACAUCCUUUGUUCUUUAAUUUUCUGCUAAGCAAUGAUAUAAUCUGAUAUAAUUAUUAAUUAUGCAGCACAGAUCAGAAAAGAGAAUUUACAGAUAAACUAAUAGAUUAUACUCCCAACAAGUUAUUCAAAUAUAUCCUGAUGAAGAUAAUGGGGAAUUCAUGUUCCCCAUCGAUAUGAAUAAUGAAUAGCAGGAUAGCAUGAUCAGCCAUCAGACAUCUUCCAAGUUGAUUGCAGUUCCAUUUUUGUCUCCCAAAUGCCUUUUGAAAAACAAUACUUUACCCCAAAAUACCUCCAUUCUUUUGACCAGAAAAAGAAAGACUAGCUUAUUUCCUGGGACUAAAACUAAAUGCUCUUCGCUCCACUUACUCUUCAUUUUCUAGGUAUUUUUUUAGCAUCAUGGCUUAUGCACCAGAAAAUUAAAAAAUUAAAAAAAAAAUAAGGUGGGCAAAGUUUUCUCUUCCUAAUUAAUAACCUUCGUUAUAUUAUUUUACGAUCCUAUUUACUCAUGAGUAAAACAUAACAAGAGUACAUGCACAAAGAAUGUCAAUUAGUAUUUUUUUUGUAACAAAAAGUUUAGGGGAAGAUUGGUUACUCUCAUCAUCAGUAUUAGGGUUUAUCCAAAGCCUCGAGCCGGAAGGAUUUACACAUAACACUUAACUAUCAGUUAUCACCGAUAUAAAUUUACGUAAAAACUUACAUUUCUUUAGCAUCUAAGUACGUACAAACUAUUCGAUACUCCAAAAACUAUGUACUCUAACCUUUUUUCACGGUCAUGUGUGUGUGUGUGUGUAUGUAUAUAUAUGUGUGUGUGUGUGUAUGAGACUAAGAUGAGAUCCAUGGACUGUUUUUUUUAAUAGAAAAACUAAUGAAAAUAACUUGAAAAUUUUGAAUUUUAACGAUAUAAACAAAAUAAAUGAUAAAAUAAAUAGUAUCAGGAUUGACUUUUUAGUGUAAAAAUAUGAUUUUUCAUUAAAGUGAACAAUACCGAAAAUUUUUCGUUGAAGUUCUCUUUUUUAUUUGUGAUGAUUGAACAAGCAUUGUAAGUACUAUUGAAAAGAAAAUGUAUAUAUCAAACACAACAAAGAGCCAAAGUUUCAAUUAAUUAAAAUUACGUGAUUUACCAGAAAUACACUUGAAACUAUUGCUAACAACGAUCUAUCUUUUGAGUAAUCAGAAUUAAAGAUCCUUGUCAGUGUUGUCAACUCCUGGUCAAGCCUUCUUCUCAACCACCAACAACCAAUGAUUCCCCUCUUUGACUGGGGCAACAACAUAAAACAAUGCAAAAGCCACGAUUCGUUAGAAUUUACAAUUUUUUUGACCCACAUAAAAAAAAUGCAUUUACAAAUUCUCAAAAAAAAAAAAAAAAGCUAUUGCAUAUAAGUUGAGUAUGAAUUUGCAAAAUUAAUUAAAGCAACGUGCAAUUAUCUCUACCCUUGAAAAUUAAAAUUUUCCUCUAAUAAUUUAAAAUAUGGUGUAAAAUACUUAGUUGACAAAUUGAAUUUCAUUUAUCAAUAGAUUUGUUCUUCUUCCGUUUGAAUUCGUUUUGAUAAUUCUUCUAGCUACUUUGAUAGGUGCAAUUGUACAAAUCAAACACGCAUCAUGCAUGGUUAUGAAGCUGAGCACCUGUUAAGCACCAACAUUUUGUCGGAUUUAGCAUCAUUGAUCUUUGAUAAUUGUCCCCCCAAUUUAAGCUUCCUCAGAUGUGGCCUUUCUGAACGUGGGAUGUGGUGAUUGGUCAUGUUCACGUUUACCUUAAAAGUCAAUUAGUAAAAGAGAACUGGGCAUCUUUCGAAAUAUAGCUUAUAAAUCUAUGUCAAUCUAUGAAUUAGGGACACGUGCUUACUGUUUUGACUUGAAGAUAGAUUGCAACUUCCCAAGAUGCACCGGGCAUUUAGUUGUGAGCGGUGCUAGAGAUGUCAAUUUUUUUAUGUUGUAUUUUAUAGAUUGAAUGAUGUGCAGUUGAUAGUUUGAUUUAUUUUUAAAUUAUUAAUAACAUAAUUUAAUUAUCAACCAUCAUUUUGUGUUUAUAAAUAUGGUCUAAAAAAUAUGGAUAAUUUUAUAAAGGUAAAAUUUUAUAAAUAAAAUUUGUAAACCAAAUAAUGUGGUUGUAGAUGAUUGAAUUAUUAUUAAAAUAUCGAUUAACCUGCUUGUUUUUUGUUGGUGACACAUUAUUUAGUUUACAAAUUUAAUUUAAAAAUUUAGUCUUCCUAGUAUUAGCCCAAAAAAUAUCUCUAUCAUUUUCUUUAUAUUUGUGAUUCUCCAACUUUCUCGCUACUUUAUUGACACCUAUUUUCAAAACUUUGGCUCUCCCUUCAUUGACUAUAUAUAAGAGAGCAAUUCAUGCACUUAUACGACCAACCUUGUUUCUCAUUGACCAUAACCUAUAUAUAGAAAGCAAUUCAUGCACUCAUACGACCAACCUUGUUCAUCAUGUGGGUUAAUUCUGCAUCAAAUUAAGCUCCUCCAAAGCCAUUAAAUCUUCGAAGGUACUCCAACUUUGUUGAUCAUUUACAAUUUUAUAGUGAUACUGUGAUUGUUAUAUUUGGUUGGAAAGCAGUAAUUAUUUAGAGUAAUGUUAAGGAGAUCGUCUAUUUAAACUAUAUCAUGUAAAGCAUGUGACAUGAUUAUUAAUAAUUAAAUUAUUAUUUAAGUUUUUAAUUAACGUAUUUAUUUUAUAUUGGUAAUACAUCACAUUUAUGAUUUUAAAAGAUGAAGAAACAUUUUAGUGUGCCGAUAACACAGCUCGGUACACUAAGUGUAAUAAUAAGAUUAAUUAGAAAUCUGAAUAUUAUAUUCAACAAGAUAAGCAAAAUGAUGGUUUUUUUUUUUUUUUUUGGUUAGAAUAGGCAGAAGGAUGUUUGCUUAUUGAUAAACUGUCGGUUUUUCUUUUACGAUUAGAUAUCAACCCGUCCGAUUUCUUUGUUUGACCGGAGGACAUUCUGUCCAACGGUAAGAACGGCAAGCCAUUAGAUUCUCUGAAACAUAUUUUAACUUUAAAAUUAUUUCUGUUAAAAGCAAUUUAAUCAUUUAAAUUAUUUUUCAGACAAGGCCUUGAUCAUUUGGCAGCAGCUCGGUUUUCUCACGUGUAACAUCAAAAAUCUUUAUAUAUAUAUAUAUAUAUAUAUAUAGACCCAUAUGCGCAAUAUUAACUUGUCAAUUACAUAAAUAACUUUACUGGUGAUAUCUUUCUAAGUUAAUUAGCUAGAAUAGAAUGUGUGUAUAAAAAAUAGCAAGAAUGUGUCUUUUUGGCUCAAAAUAGCUAGUAUGGAUUUCAAUCUUUGAUAUAUUAAUAAUCUUCGUAUGGGCGGACUCAUUCACUGGCAAGUGUGAAUUGCCUACUUAGACUUCGAAAAAAUCUACCUACUGGAUCAAUUUUUUCUCACCUAGUAAUUGAGCAAGGUGGUGGCUCCGGUUUGCGAAUCUCCUUCACAAAACCAAAACCACAACUACAACUACAACCACAACCACAACCAUUUUUUUUAGGAAAAUUAAUGAAAAGGGUUUGAAAAUUUUGAGUUUUAACGAUAAUGACAAAAUAAAGGGUAAAGUGAAUAGUAUCAUAAUUGACUUUUUAAUAUAAAAAUAUGGUUUUUCGUUAAAGUGAACAGAUGGCUUCUAUCAGGAAGGCGGCGCAAAGGAGGCUCGAGGGCUUGUUAAGGAAGGCAACAGGGGCCGACGAAGGGGGGAAAACAAAAUGCGUUUUCUGGUCCCCCCUGAGCCGGGGGGUGCUUGUGGGGGGGGGGGGUGUGCCACGACGAAACAAGGGAAUUUAAGGCUGCUUUGCGUUGGAUGCCGAUAACUUUUUGUUAAAAUUCCCUAUUUAUUAUCUGUUUCAUUUUAAGAAAACUACAUUAAGAUUUUAUUUUUCACAUUUAUAAAAAAAAAUCUUGACUCUAUUACUACUUCGUAAGAAUAAAAACCAUAAAUACACACUUACAGGUUAUCACCUAACUAAGUUAGCGGUGAAGAAUAGUUGAAAGAGUAGUAAUUUGUGGCAUUUUUCUUUGCAUGCAUUUACCACGAAAAUUUCAGCCUCAUAAAUCCUCUGGUUUGUUGACUAGUCAAAGCGCUUGUAUUGUAUGCGUGUAGGGUUAUAUCAAACCAAACACUGAUCUGUACACUAGGUUGUUUUGUUUACAUGACUCAACCCUAUAUAUAUAUAUAUAUAUAUAUAUAUAUAUAUCAAACUCCGCCACCAUUAAAAGUCACGGAUGUAGUGACUUUUAUAUCUUUAAAAACUCUCAUACCCUCUCUUUUCUUCUUCCAACUCCUACCAUUGCAUAACAAUGUGUCAAAUGGGGCCGGUCGUGCCUCCACAUUUUAUCUUCUUCGCUUUUGUGAGUUACUGUACUCGGCGUGGCAGUAAGAUGACUCUGUUUGAGUUGAUCAUACUUAGCUUGACACUAGUCUUACAUGGAUUAUGUCAUACUUUUGUUUGUGUUGAAUAACAUCGCCCAAAUUCGCCCGCUUCAUAUCGAUUUCAAGUUGUGCCAUAGUCUACCCUUAAUUAUAAUUAAACGUUAAAAACACUAUAAUAAUUACAUAAGGGUUAGAAUCUGGCAACAUACUUUUGACACCAAUUUUGUAAGGGUGUACUUUGUAAUGCAUUUCAACGAUUCGAACAUGUUCUUAUUUCGUUCUUAUUUUGAACUGUUUAUAUUUUAGUACAUCAUUCAUAGAUCAUCCUUACAAAAAUUAGACAAAUCCAAAAUCAUUAAGACAUUUAUUUGUAGUGAAUUAGAAAGUCAAUGAACACGGUUCUACAAAGAAACACUAAAUUUACUUCAACGGUCAUAUGAUUUUAGAUUUGGGUGAGUUUUGAUAAACAUGAUCUUUGAGGUAAGACAUAAAAAAUAAACAAUUCAGAUCGUUAAAAUACAUUACGAAGUUGGUCAUGCGUAAAAGACGUGUGUUCCCAAAUCUUAACUCGUUAAUCAUUAUUUAAUCAACAUUAUGAAACAUGAAUCAUUCUAAAUUUUUAUCCACUGCCGUCGAUGUUUUUAUCAUGCAUUAUUUUCAUAUGUGUUUCAUUUUCAAGUUUGAUUUUUCUUUAGCAAGUAGCAUCAUCAAUGUGUAGACAAAAUGCGAAACUAGAUAUGCCCAAAUGCAUGCAUAUGAAUUAUGAAAUAUACAUAUGCCAAGUUCAAAUUCACCCAUAUGCUGGUGGGAUCCAGUUCCCCUCCUUGAGAACCUCUAGUAAGUCCCACAUGUAAUGCAUGACCCACCACUAAAAUUCGUCUUGACUAAUAAAUCAGACUUUUAUAUAAUAAUUUUUCUUUUGUUUUAUGAGAAAUAAUUUUUUCUGUUCUUGAAUGCCUUAUUUAUCACAUUUAUUAUGACAAAAUAAAUUACUACAAUUUCUUUUUUACUGAAGAUUGCAUUUUUUUAAUUCUCCAUAAAUUAUUUUUUGAACAACAUAUCUUUGUUAGAUAUAGUUCUCGAUUUCACGUUAGUUUUUUUAUUGUCUUUUUUAGCACAUUCAACAAAAAAAAUUAAUUUCUUAUUUGGCAUAUAAAAUAGAAAGUUGAAUGUUAUUUUGAAAAAAAAAAAACAACGUUGCAAGUGGUGAAUCGUUCUGAUAGACAAGUUUUUUCUUCAAACACUAUGUAUUGGGUUUCAAACCUCUCUUUAUAAUUUAAAUGAAUUUAAAGCAAAACAUAUAUAUUUUUAAUUUAAUUACAUGAAAAUAAUACUGCAAGGAGAAGCACGCGUAGUAAUUUUGUAGUGUACAAGAUAUACAUGCAUAUGAUGUUUUUAUUUUACUUAAUUAUAUCUUGUCAAUAUAUUUAUUUUAUUAAUAUACUACAAACGUAAAACAUAUGAACACUACACUCUUAUAAAGAAUGUUAUACAGACAAACUAUUUAAAUCAAUUUUAUAAACCAUAUGACAUAAUUGUUGACUAUUGAUUUAUUACUUACUUGUUAAUUAACAUGUUUAUUUAGUAUUGUUGACGCAUUACAUGAUUUACAAAUUUGGUCUAAAAACUUAAUUUACAUAUCAUUCCUCCACUACGCGUGAAACUAUAACUUGAAUAAAUUUUAACCACCAAAACAACAAAUAAUCUACUAGAGUUGGGGACACAAUACUUGACGGGAUGAUAUCCGACUUGUCACAUUGCCAUCCCUAUAUAAUAGAGACUAUGCACGCAAAAUCGAAACUAAUAGUUGUAUUACGUUAGAUUGCACUUCCUCCACGAAACAUAGACAAAAACCGCUACGAUAGGUUUGGAAGGCUUAGUGCCUAGAUGUCUAGACAGGGCCUAAUCGAUUUUUAUAAUUUUAAUUAAAUUUAUUAUAAAUAAGUAUCUAUUUAUAUUUAGAAAAUACAUAAUUGUAUUGUGAUACACAAAUUCUAUAGAAUAACAUUCAGAUUAUAAAGUAUUAGAACAUAAUGAAAAAUAUGAGAGACAAGCAUAUAAUAAUUGUUCAUCCACGUAUUCAAUAUGUCUCUUACAAUUUAUUAAAAAAAUAAAUACAAAAUAAAAAUUGUCGAUUUAAAUUACAUUUGUAAACUAAAUAAUGUGGUUGUAGAUAAUUUGAUUAUUAAUUAAGUAUUAAUUAACAUGAUUAUUUCUGAAUGAAGCUAUAUCAAUUCGAUUUAAAAAAUUUGAACUCUUUAAUGAUACCCUAUCAUAUCACAUUCAAUCAUACAUCACUUCUCUUCUAAUUGGUCGGGCAACAAACACACUCCCCAAGAACACUUGCAGUUACCCUCUGCCACUCCAUUGCCAGCAAUUUCCAUCUCGGUUAAAAAAUUGGAGUUAAAAUAUAACAAUUAAUACAUGUGAAGAAAUAUCGUUAAGUCUAUGUUGAAUCAUCAUCUGGCAGGCAGUGGCAGAGACAAAUAUAUUCUUUUCUUUCUAUUUUCUUUUAUCUCUUCUCCCUGUAGUUUUUGCUGGAGUUAGAAGAAGACAUUAAUAUAGCAGCAGCAGCAGCAACAGCAGCAGAAGAAGAUAAGCUUGUGGGGUUGUAUACGUUGAUGGAGGAAAUGUACGGAUUGCAAUCAACGGCCGACUAUGGGGACAAAGGGUUUGAAUCAACGACGGAGUACGAUGACAGGGGGGCGUUGAUGACUCCGGAGAAUCUGAUACUGCCGCUGGAUUACCACAGCCUUCUGCACUCGUCCGUAGCCUUCCUCGAGCACAAUCACCAUCAACAUCAACGGGAGGCGAUGUUCGGAUCGAACGACAUCGUGUUGUACUCGGCAGCGUCAGAAGCUGCUUCGACGAUAAUCGCGCAACGCGAGGAGGACGUGUUCGGCGCCAUCAAAACCAGAAUCGCGUCUCAUCCGACGUACCCUAGGCUCAUUCACGCAUACAUCGAGUGCCAGAAGGUGAACAAAUACCUAAUUAAUUAUUAUUUAAUUAGUAUCAACUCUUGUUAAUAUCAGGAUUUGUGAAUGCUUUAUUAUUUGUGUGAUGUAGGUUGGGGCGCCGCCAGAAAUAGCGAGUUUCUUGGACGAAAUCCGACGAGAAAAUGGCUUGUACAAAAAGCAGGGAGACUACUCAUGUAAUUCUAGUUCGAUGUCGUCCUCCACAUGUUUGGGAGCCGAUCCCGAGCUCGACGAGUUCAUGGUCCCCCCUUCUCUUUGUUUCUCUUUAUUCUUCUUACUAAUUUUUAUUGUCUUUUAAUCUUAAUUUUUUGUUUAUUGUUUCUUGUCUCUCCGUUGUUUAUAGGAAACCUACUGCGACAUUUUGGUGAAGUACAAAUCAGAUCUAUCCAGGCCUUUUGAUGAAGCCUCCUCUUUUUUGAGCAAGAUCGAAACGCAACUCACAAACCUCUGCACUUCAUCAUCUGCUCAUGCCUCUUCCUCCGUUAGAACCCUCUGCGGUCAGUCUCUCUCUCUCUCUCUCUCUCUCUCCGAUGAUGAUUAUGCGAGCGGCCCACUUACUGAGAACUAUGAAAACAUAUGCAUGCUCGCAUAAUUAUGGACGUUUUUUUAUCAUAUAUGUGUGUGUGGCAGUAAUGAUACAAACAAACACCUAGGUAGCCACAAAAACCCUAGUACCUCUACAACGGAAAGAGACCCUUCCGUCUUAUACUUAUAUUUGCCAAAGUUUUUAGUAAUGCUAGCUCUUCUUCGGAAUUCUAAUCUGGAAACGGUUCAUUGUUAUAUCUUAUAAUCGCCUGCCUUCUCUCUCUCUCUCUCUCUCUCUAGCUACGCAUUUUGUGCCUGUGUCUGUGUUUCUAAAUUCCAUCCUGGUUGUUUGUUGUCUGUUAUGUUUGUUUCCUUUUUCACCUUCUUUAUCUCAUCAGUUUUUACUCAAAGACGCCAUAUAAGAACCAGCUUGAAAAGCAAAAUCUUUUCUUUUUUGUUUCAAAGAUUCUGACUUUGACGUUUCAGAGAUUUGUAGUCUCAUCUCAUGACACUCCAAUAGUUGUUUGAUUGUUUCAUACAGUGCCCCUUCAAAUGUUUCUAUGUUUCUUUUUUAUAGUAUAGCGCCCUUCUUAACUUAGUCUUUUUCACAUGCUCAUAAUCUAUAUCAAUAAUCCCUAAUCAUGGUUCUUUUUUUUUUCCCUUUUCUUUCAUUCUUUGACAUGUUCAGUUCCAAGUUGAAACUCAUGUAAUCUGGAUUGUCAACUUCAUACCAUGCAUGACCUAGAAAUUAGUGAUCAUGAUUGAUAAUUACCUUAUGUAGUGCAUGCAUGUUAAUUUUAAGUUGGAUGAUCUUGUUAGGAGCUUCCAUAUUACAGUCAAUACAUAUUUGUAUAUAUUUUAUGGAUGUUGCAUUUGCUGAAUAUGACUAAAGUGAUCAUACAAAGUUGGUGGCAAAUGUGUACUGAAUAGAUCAGUUUAUUUCAAGGGUAAUGUUAUAUAUAAACUAAAUGUGUAGAUGAAAUUUUAUUUGAUGGUUGAAUUAUUAUUUAAGUAUUGAUUAAGAUGUAUAUUUUUUUAUUGAUGAUACAUCAUUUAAUUUACAAAUUUAAUCUACCUCACAUUACUCUUAUUUCAAAAAACAAAAAAUCAGAAGAAUCGUCCUUGUAGUUUUUGUUUUGUUGUGAUUGUUGAGCAAGUGUGAGGUAUCUGAACAGUGUUGUAAAGAUGGUAUGAUAAGUCAUUUCAUGGUAUAGUAGCAGUAGCUCAGCUUUAACGUAAAGGGUUCAUAUCGACUAGAGUUGUGUAAUCUACACUCUUAUUUUUAUCUCUCACACACCUUUCUUAACUAUUAACUAUUAAAGUAAAUGAAUUAAAGAAGAGUAAGGGACAAAAUUUAACAAAGUGUGAGAGGUAACAUUUACUGAUGGAUGUAUCAGUGUGACUGUAUAAAGGAUUGACAUGAAUGUUUAGGGGAAUUGAUAAAUAUUGUUCAUGAUCAGCAGUGGGGAAGCUUGGCAUAAGUAAUUAAAUAUUAUACCUAUACCCUUAAAUUCUUUUAAGAAAAUGCACCUUGUAGAUUUAAAGAUCACAAAAUUAGAAAUAGGAGGAAAAUUAAGGGUGGUUUAAUAUUAUUUAUUUUUCAGUUUAUUUAUUUAAUGUUUUGAAAUUUGAAAAGUUUGGGGAGAUAUUGUUCAUGAUCAGCAGUGGGGAAGCAUUUGGCAACUGUUCUUUAGUUUUUCAUUUUUAGCCUAAUUUUAGUUUUCAGUUCUCAAAUGGGCAAGAAAAUUGUUUCAAAUUGCUUGUUAUGUGAUAUAUGCCAUGCAAUGUUACUAUAUAUGCGCUUUUGGUUUAGAAAUCUUUUGAAACUUGUGCAUAGUUAUAAAGUUUGGGGGAUAUAGAUCUACUGUUAGUUUUAUCCUCCUAUUUGCGUUUUUAAAGUAAUGUAGUUUUAUUCACAAAACGUAAUUGUUAUGAAUAUUUGUCAAGUUUAUUUGUUAGAAGUGUUAGACCACUCAACUCAACUGAUAUCUUAAUCAGAGACAAUUUAGGUAUGACAAGUAAUGAUGUGUAGUCAGGUUCCUUAUUGAUUCUCAAGUUCCAAUACAGCAAGAGUAGUACUUGCAUGCAGCAAAAUUUUAAUUAUAUGACAUAGUUGUUAAUGAUGAAAUUAUUAUUUAUAUGUUAAUUAUCAUGUUUAUUUUUUAUUGUUGACACAUCGUAAAGUUCACAAGGUCUAAAAAUUGGUAUAGCUAACUUUGAAUAUUAAAGAAGGAUAGAAUCAAAUCUAUCUGUACUUCCCUUGGCCAUGAUCUUUAGGAAGAAAAGUGGAUUAGCUAGCUAGCACAUAUAGGAAUAUUACUAAUAAUCACGUGAGUGCAUAUCAUACACUGCCUUCGGAAUUUAUUUUUUAUUUUUUAUUUUUUAUUGUUAUCAUGAUCUGCUUUCUGUUCUUUAUAACUUCCCAUCCCUUUGCCUAUGAUAACAGCCAAAAAAUUAACAAGAUCUAGACUUUAGUACAAAUCAUUUUGUCUCAAGAAAUGAUUUCUUCACACAAUUUUUGCACACCCGUCCUCUUGUUCAGUCAUUGAAUUGAACAAAUAAAGCCGUAUCAAGGGCCAUAAUUACAAAACGGUGUGCAUAAAUUGCUGAUCUUGUUGAUAAUAUAAGAAGAGUUCCUUUUGUUAUUCCAUCACUUAUUUGAGCAAAGAUUUGUACAUUUAAGCAUCUCAAUCAGAGUAAAACUGUGGUUACUUCCAUUUGCACGAGCGUGGAGCUUGUGCAACCGGAAUGCAAGUAGCAGCCUUAGACAUUGAAAAAGGGUGGUGGAUGAUUAGAAAUCUCGUUAUCUUUGGUGAAGUGUCAUCGUAAUCUUAUAGGUUAUGAUUCGCAAGUAUUAUUGUUUUUUAUAUGAAAGUACAUAAUACCUUUUCAGCGAUGUGGUUUCAUAUUUAAUUCGCCUCGUGCUCUCACUGCUGCAUCAGUAGAUUCUUUAACGAAUUACCCGAAUGAAAAGGUAGAGAGGUAGAACAUUUCUUAAGCAUGCGACCAUGGCAGACGUUCAGUUGGACAUAAACAUAAUAUUGGCAUAUAUUCACGUGGUUUCGUGGCUUUAUCUUGUUGGCUCCUGCAUUUGUAAAAAUCUUGUUUUAGGUUUUUAAUUCAAGACUAUCCGAUUAGUGUUUGGUUGGAAUUUCUUUAUUUUUAAAUGUUCUCUUAAAGUUUCUGUGUUCUUUGAACGUUUUUCAUGCAUUAUGGUACUCAAACGGUUUCUGAUCGAUUAAAGUCUAGCUACUAAUCUUUUAAUCCCAAAACUUUCGCAUGCACCAUCGAGUAAGUACUCGUACCAAUAUAUCAUAUACUUUGAAAUUUUCAAAUAGCUAGGGUAACGUUAGGGAGACAAAAUUUGUAGACAAAAUUUACAAACUAAAAGAUUUGUCACUAAUAACAUAACAAUUAACUUUUAUAUCAUUUAGUUUAUAAACUUUUGUCUAUAAAUUUAAUCUUUCUAACAUUAUCCUUUCAAAUAUAUUCUAGAAGGAUAGUUCAAUGAUUCACUUGUUUAGUUGAAGAUACUUGAGUUGUUUUCAACUUUUCAUUGAUUUGACGUUUGAGCUUAUUUGCAAGUAAACUGUGUUGAUCUUACUUCGCACUUUGCAUUUAACAUAUGUAGCCAUAGAAUAUUGCUGAUUUCUUAUUCUAUAAAUUAGGCUUAUGAUCCGUAUCUUUAUUUAUGUUGCCUUACAUGAUGCUUAUGGCAUGAGAGCAAAGCUUGUCACUGUGCUAUAUUCAUUCAUAGCACUAAUAGAAGGUUAAUUACUGGAAGUCUUGAGAUAGCUUUAGGCCGAACAAGUGACGUUACUAUAUACAAGAAGCAUAAUUCUGGUGUCCGCGUUGCAUGUUCUCAUGGUUUCGUUGUGUCUAACUUUCCUCACACAUAACUUGAGAAGAGAGAGUGACGCAAUCAUACUCUGGUGUUCCGGACUUCCAGUAGCAUAUUCUCGUUGUGUCAUCGUUUGUUCGUCAAAGCAUAGCAUGAGAAGAGACUCUGUGUCACAGACUUGAGCUUUUUUGCUUUCCUUUUCUUUUUUACGUGCUUUUGUCUUCGUUGUUGUAUUGUAUGCUGCCGCAUCCAAGUAAGUUAGACGGUCGAAUACAAGCUUACCCAUUGGAAACUUGAAUGUAACUUGGAUUAUAGGUUAGUCUCUCUAUACCUAACAGAAGACCUUUAAAUUCCCCAUAUUUUGUUUGUUCAUCUGGUAAAAAUGGUGAGGGGUAUUAUGGAGGACUGGAUAAUAAAAAUUACUGCUACUGCUACAACUGCAUAUGCAAGAAGGAAGGAAGAGAACUUUAUAGAAAAGCCCGGAUCGAGGGGGUGGUCGAAGUUUUCUCCACACAUUCGCAUGUGGACUCCCGCAGUUUACGCCGAGAGCAGCUUUUAUGUCUUUCAACUCUCUCUCUCUCGCUUUGUUCUGGCCAGUACUGCCACUUGUGUUAAGUGCUAGUCAUUUCCAUGGACGGGCAUCUCUUCCCGCUGUGGGUCUUUGCGUUUCAUUAUUGCUUCACACGUGUCUGCUCACUACGUGUACUUUUGAGUGGCAUCGGGGCCCCCUGAAAUUCAAUCCUUUCCGCUGCACCAAACCCUAUCACAUCCCUUUUCUUUUAACUUCCAAGGGCAUGGAAAUGACUUGGGUGGAAAGUAUUCUUUCUAGCUGGGGCGUCUCAAAUUAUUAAUACAAGAUAUUGUAGCAUUUUAUGUUACGAAUAUAAGAUCAUGCGGAAAAUGUCUUGCACAUUAUGUUAGUUAUUCGAAAUGUCACGGUGGAUAUUAACUGUGAUCGUUUCCAUGGCAUUUACUAACUGGAUACCUAAACAUUGAGGUGUAUGAAUGGAUAGAUUUUUGAGUGUGACUGAUAAAUAAUGUGGUACAUCAUGUGUCAUUAUACAAAUAGUGAGAUAUGUGUGUUAAAAAACUAAUAACUUAAAAAAUAAAUUUUUUAACACUUCUAUUAAAACACGCGAUAUACUACUUGUAUUCCUCUUACGAUUAAAAAUUUCUCGUGUGAAUGUCCAAAGGAGUGUUUUACUGGGCAUCUUCUAGGGUUUUUCCUUAAAGUUCAUCAUUCUGUUUGGUCACCGACUUUGCCCACCCACUCACACAUGCACGUUUGUGUGGUUUGUGUCAGUUCUGAUUUGAUUGAGGGCCCCGGCUGUCUUGUCCAUUCUGAGUCUGACAUUGUUGUUUCUCCUUCUCUCUAAAGUCUUAAUCGAGAUAUGUAGAAAAAGAAUGUGAUAUACGGUCUAUUUUAUUUUUUACAUAUUUUUUUUAAUUUUUGAUCGUUGGAGGAUAAAUUGAAGAGAUAAAAAUUAACAAAAAGAAUAUAAGAAGUAAAAAAAUAUGUGGAUAGCAUACUCCUAAACAAUAUUAUUGACUAAAAAAUUCUCAAGUGUUUUGAAGUUUUUGAUAUUUUGAGUAUUUUAAUUUUUUAUACAUUUUAAUAGAGGUCUAAUGUUAAAAUACCGAAUGAGGAUCUCCUCUAGAUCAUCUUUGCGAGGAUUUCAAAGAUUUUCUAAUCAAAUUCGUUUAUCGUAAAUCGUGCGGUUAGUUUUCAUCAAAUAUUAUUUAUAUUUAAUUAUAAAUAAAAAAAUUAUAAUAUUUUUAAUCGUAUGAUAUAUGAAAAACGGAUGUAAUUGAAUGAUUCUUGGAUCCUUACAAAGAAGAUCCGGAGAGGAUCCUUAUCCUAAAAUACCCAGAAUACGCGGGUACUUUGAAGCACCCAAAACAGUCCCCUACCCACACCCUCUGUGAAAGAAAGAAUGGCACCCUGUACUGUAGUGCCUUGGCAAACGAGUUCAUGGUGUUGAUCUUUAGGACAAAGAAAAGGUUCAUGGUGUUGGUCCUUCUUCCGUUCUCUUUUUACUUUUUAAUUUUUUUGGUGAUAUGAAUUGGAGAAAGAUUUCCUUGUCGCGGUACACUGCUACUGUUGUAUUAAGUGGAUCAUACUGUGCUAGGUUUAAUUUUUUUAUUUCACAACCGGUUUUAGAUAUUGACGGUGACGGUACUAUAGAAGUUACUCUUAAUCCGUAGUCACAAAUUUAAGUAUGACACUUUUAGAUAGUCACCUAUACGUAAUGCUUGUGCUUCAGAGUAAACUUGAAAUCUAUAUCCCAUUUGGGAAGUUUUGAUAUGAGAACAAAGAAAUCACGUAUGUUUUAUUUGCACAUUGUUAUUUAUGCAUUGCAAUUGUCUACCUCGUAAAAUCUACUAGUUUGUUUUCCCCAAGAUGUAACGUUAGUACAACCCUCUGCUGAGAAAACAACAUUGACUAGUGUAGUGGUAUUACAUAGCACCCUAUUAUCUCGAUCGAAAUGGAUUUAAUGGUUUAAUUCAUAUAACCUGAUGGACAAUGUUGGUGAUCAGAUGAAGGUGGUGGCAUGUCAUCGGAUGAGGAUUUCAGCGGAGGCGGAAUAGAUGUGCAGGAAGCUCAACAAGGAGGUGAAGAUCGAGAUCUCAAGGAUCGGCUUAUGCGUAGGUUUGGCAGUCAUCUCAGCACCUUGAAGCUCGAAUUCUCCAAGAAGAAGAAGAAAGGAAAGCUGCCUAAAGAAGCAAGGCAAACGUUACUUGAUUGGUGGAGUACGCAUUAUAAAUGGCCCUAUCCAACGGUACUAAACCUCUCUUCUCACGUUAUAACACUUAGUUUUAUAACACCACGUGACGUUACAGUCACACCUCAGUAUUUUUCUCAUCUUCACCUAAUAACAAUGUUUGACAAUCAAAAUGUGGUUGUUUAGUUUCUUCCCUUGCUUUAAUCUCAUUCAGGAGGCUGAUAAGAUUGCACUGGCCGAAUCAACGGGGCUAGAUCAAAGGCAAAUUAACAACUGGUUUAUUAAUCAGCGUAAGCGUCACUGGAGACCAUCGGAGAACAUGCAGUUUGAGGUGAUGGAUAAUCUUACUGGACCAUUCUUUACAAAUGAAUGAGGUGCAUGCAUGUAUAUUCUCUCAAAUGCUUAAUUAUGCUUCUUUUCCUGAUAAUUUAUGUGUACAUGAUCUGGAAAAUGCAAACUUUACUGACAUUCGUCAAUUACCCAAUCUUCAAGAUGAUUAGGGGGAUUUGAUUGUAAUUUGCUUCAAUGUAUACUCUAUGGAAUUUGACCACGGUUGAUAAUGAAUGAAAUGCUUACAUACCCUUGCUAUCACUUGCAAAUGAUCUGGGCUCAAAACGCAAAACUCUUAUUAAUAAGUGCAAAUAUGAGCUUAACCAAGUUUACUAGAAUAACGCUCUCAUUCUUUUGCGCUCAAACUCGGAUUUUGAUAUCAUAGUUUAGAUAAUUCAGUGCAAAAUAUAACUUAUAUUGAAGAAGAAAAAAAAAAAAAACCCUAAUAUGUAGGCCCUAAAAGGUAUACGAACUAUAAUCAACCAAGAAAAGUGAUUAAAAGCCAUUUACAUUUUCAUUUGAUUUAUUUUUCUCUUGCAAUUAUUGUUAGAGGCUAUGAGAUCGAAUAUUCACUUUAUUGAUCAGAAAAAACCAGGUGGAAUAUGUUUACUUAUAUAGAAUGAGUACUGAUGUGAUUUUGAUUGUUGACCUUCUAAGUGUUUAUGAACACAUAGAAAUUAAACAAAGUGUGGGUUUUCACGUAACAAUCCAUAUUCCAAUAGUUCACAAUUUAGGCAUGUCAAUUCCUUCUUUCCUUCUCCAAUUCAUGACUUCCUCAUUCAAGUAACUAGACACGUCAUAAAAUUUUGAAUAACAAAGCGGUUUAUGAUUGGUGGGCCCAUGUCAAGCUACACUUCUAAUUUGAGUCCAUGCAUCACUAUUGGGCUUAGGCAGAUAUUGCUUACCAACAUUGGGCUUACUUUGGAACCGACGACCCAUAAUUUACCGGAUUCCAACUUUCAUGAAUCGGGCCCUCUUAUCCGAUCCCUGAUCUCAGAACGCGCGUCUACCCGUUGUUGUUUCAGUAACUGACGCUAACUGUCAUGGCUUCGCUCUUCCGUUCUCAGCCGGUCAGCGCCUACCCAGUUUUCGGUUCAGACGCAGUCCGGUCCGGUCCUCCAGGACCUCCACCGCACGCCAGGCGCUCUUCAACCGCAUUGCCCCUGUCUAUGAUAACGUUCGAUUCUCUCCUCUCUCUUUUUUUUCUUAAAUUGUAGUGUCACUUUUUCUUUCUUUGUUAAUAUUUAUACAGUUUUUAGCUAAAUGAUUUGUUGAGCUUGGGUCAGCAUCGAAUAUGGAAAAGAAUGGCAGUUUUGUGGAGCGGGUAAACAUUAAAAUUAACAUUUUUUUUUGGCUCUAUUUUUGGGUGGAAUAUAUAUAUUUGGGUCCCCGAAUUUCAAGUUUUUGAAUUUUGGGUUGCAGAGCAAAAAUGGGAGCGUUUGUGUUGGAUUUUUGCAGUGGAAGUGGGGAUUUAGCGUUUCUCUUAUCUGAGAAAGUUGGCUCCAAUGGCAAGGUUUGUUCUUUGUUGUAAUUGGCCUGAAAGAUUGGUAAUUUAAUUUUAAUAUGAGCUGAUGUUUGUGAUUGGGAUAGUAAAAUUUGGCUGCAUUGGCAGGUGAUUGGUCUCGAUUUCUUGAAAGAGCAGUUGUCAAUUGCUUCGUCGCGGCAAAAGUUGAAGUCGAAAGCCUGCUGCUUGAACAUUGAGUGAGCACUGGUAAAUCUAGUGGUCAAUCAACUAAAAAUGUUUGAACUUUAACUCAUGAUGUUAGAAAUGUUUUGUUUUAUUAUGUGAAACUCUUUAAUAGAUACUAAAUUACUGAUCAGCAUUACAUUACUGAGAAUAAUCGAUCAUGUUAUGCAUUGCAUCUUGUUAGGUGGGUUGAAGGUGAUGCAACUGAUUUGCCGUUUUCUGACCGUCACUUUGAUGCCAUCACUAUGGGUUAUGGGCUAAGAAAUGUAGUAGACAAAUAUAAGGCCAUGGAGGAAAUGUUUAGAGUUUUGAAAGCAGGUUCCAUUCUCUCGCUUUCGAUUGAUGAUGAUGUAGUCCUGGGUAGGUCACUUUUUUCUCAUUUUUCCUCGGCAUUACAGGCUCGAGGGUAUCAAUCCUUGAUUUCAAUAAAAGCACCAAUCCAGUUGUGUCUGCAGUUCAGGUACUCAACCAGAUACAAUAAGUUUUUGCCUUGUAACGCGUACACCAAUUUCCCGUUAUGUUUUAUUGUCGCAGACAAGUGCUGAAUGCUUCAGGAACUUUUGCUAGGAAUUGAUGAUUGACAAUCUUGUUGUCCCAGUGGCUUCUGGUUUUGGACUUGAGGAGGAUUACAAGUAUUUAAAGAGCUCAGUCAUGGCAUUCCUGCCAGGUGCAUUUUCCUCGCUUUAACUCUUUAUUUUUAUGGCAUAUGCACCACACGAUAUUUCUAUCUGUUUAAGCUCUCUUUGUACUAUUGUGUUUAUACGUUGUAUCUUCAAAUUUCAUGAAAUCUUGGGAAUUGUUCUGUUUGGAGGCCUUUAGGCAUGGCCUUAAUAAAUGGUUAAGUGGAUAAUAGGUUACUAGUUUGUUGAUUAAAAUCUUUUUGUGAACACAGGGGACGAGUUGGAGAACCUGGCUUUAGACGUAGGUUUUUCCAAUGCCAGAUAUUAUGAGAUUGGCAGAAGCCUCAUUGGGAACUUAGUAGCCACACGAUAGUUUGAUUCAUGUAUAUGCUGUUUCAAAUUGUGUCUUAGUGAACACAAAGUAUGUGCCUUCGGGAAAUAAGAAAAAUGUUGUGCCUCAUACAUUUCUUUUCAAUUAUUCUUUCAUAGUUGUGAACAUCAAUCUUUAAGACCAUUUCUGAUGAUCAAUUUUACUUCUACAAAUGAGAACAAAAAUAUUGCUCACUGUCUGGCUCUGAAAACUGAGAAAAAAUAUUUUAUUUUUUUUGAUCUCUGGCUCAACCAUUCUCACUAUAUCUACAAAUCCUCGAAUGCCAUUUGUACUUCGUCUCAGUUACUCAAACUUGACGUAUUCUCUGACUGAGCUGAGCAGGGGCAAGUAGCAGCCUGAGAUUCCUCAGCUCCUUCAUAGGAGAACUUAGUUGCAAGCCCUGGAAUUUUUGAAACCUUUCGUUUUUGUUAAUAUGUAUGCAGAUAUAUCAGAUAGAGAGAAUUAUCAAGAACUUAGAGAGAGAAAGUAAGAAGAGAGAGAGAGAUGAAUAUCUUGUGUUGAAUAUUACUUACUCAUGAAGUCAUUACAUUUAGACUUAUAUAGAAGCUCAAAUACAUGUAACAAACUAACUAACUAAAUGCACAAUCUAUUGACAAGUGUCAUAAUCCCACACACUAAUAUAUAUCCUAAUAUCCCCCCUCAAUCUUAGGUUUGGAUGAACCAAGUAUGAGAUUGGUACAAUGAGACCGAAACAAAGGAGAACUAAGUCCUUUUGUUAGUAUAUCCGCAUACUGCUCCCUGGAAGAUACAAAUUGAACCAUGAGACGAUGUUUGGCAACCCGUUCACGCACAAAAUGAACAUCUAUCUCAAUGUGUUUCGUACGCUGAUGUUGAACAGGAUUGAAGGACCAGGCUAUGGUGGACAAAUUGUCACAAAAGAGAACUGAAGCUGUUGGAAGUUUGAUGUGCAAAAACUGAAAAGCUGUUGGAUCCAAUCAAGUUCAGCGGAAGUGGAAGACAUAGCCCGAUAUUCCGCCUCUGUAGAGGAUUGUGACACGGUAUUCUGCUUCUUAGAUGACCAGGAAAUGGGAUUGCCACCUAAAAACACAAUUAAGCCCGUUGUAGAUCUUCGAUCAUUAGGGUUGCUAGCCCAAUUUGCAUCACUAAAAGCUUUUAACUGUAAGUCACUAGCAGAAUAUGAUAUACCAAAGGUCAUAGUACCCUUUAAGUAUCGCAAUAUUCUCUUGACUGCAGUGUAGUGAGAAAUCAUAGGGGCUUGCAUAAACUGACACACUUGAUGAACAGAAAAAGCAAUAUCCGGUCUGGUGAAAGUAAGAUACUGCAAUACACCUACUAUACUUCGAUAAGCUGCAAGAUUGUUAAAAGGAGAACCAUCAUCCUUGAGUAAUCGAUUGUAAGGCAAGCAAGGUGUAUCACACGACUUGCAAUCAACCAUUUCUGAUUUCUGUAAUAACUCUUGUAUAUACUUGGUCUGAGACAAGAAAAAACAUGUACCAAUUCGAUCAAUUUGGAUGCCAAGGAAGUAGUGCAGAUUUCCCAGAUCUUUAAUAUCAAAUUCAACUGUAAGAGAGUCAAUGACUUGUUGAAUGACAGAAAAAGCACUGCCGAUGACAAUUAUGUCAUCAACAUAGAGUAGUAAAAUCACAAUCUCAGUACCAAUAUGCUUAACAAACAGAGAAGAAUCAGCAUAAGUGGAAGCAAAACCAAGAGAAGGCAGAAAAUUGGUGAACCUUUCAUUCCAUGCCCUUGGGGCCUGUUUCAAACCAUAUAAAGAUUUGUGCAGUUUACAUACAAACUCAGGAUGAGUUGGAUCUUCAAACCCCGGAGGCUGAGCCAUAUAUACCUCUUCGUGUAACAAGCCAUGUAAGAAGGCAUUUUUAACAUCGAGCUACCUUAACGACCAAUUAAAAUGUGCAGCCAAAGCUAGUAUUAAUCGAAUAGUAGUAGGUUUGAUGACAGGGCUAAAAGUUUCCCCAUAAUCCAGUCCAGGUUCUUGACUAAAGCCCUUGGCUACCAGCCGAGCUUUAUGCCUGGAAAUAGAACCAUCAGAGUUCUUCUUAAGCUUGAAAAUCCAUUUGCAGCCCACUAAGUUUUUUCUGAAAAGGUAAUGGAACCAAACUCCAAGUUUCUUGAGUAUGCAGUGCUUCAAUCUCUUCUUGCAUAGCUUUAUACCAAACAUGGACCUUAAUGGCAGAUUUAUAAGUUGCAGGCUCACACAGUGACAAAUCAACAUAACUGGAAUCACUAAGAGUGCUGAGGAAAGCUUUCUUCUUAACAAUACCAUUCUUGCUCCGAGUUUGCAUAGGAUGCAUAUUUAAAUGAGCAAUAGGCAACAUUGGUUGUGGAUGAUUAGGACUAAACUCAGGAUCCACAGGGAGUAAGGAGGAAGAGCUUGCUGAGACAGUAAUGGACUGAGGAGAUGAAGCAUCUGUGGGAUUCAAAGUAGAAGAGUCUAGGGUGGAAAGUGUUUGAGGAGGUAUGACAUAUGGUAUUGGUGCAGCUGCUAAGGGUAGUGAAGGAUGAAUAUCAGAAGAUGCAGGUGAUGAGGCACAUGCUAUGACACACUUAGACUGAGCUAGCAAUUGUUGAUAUGGAAAAAUGGAUUCAUCAAACACAACAUGCCGAGAUAUAAAGAUCCUCCCCUUCAAGACAUCAAAACAAAUAAAGCCUUUAUAUUUAGAGGCAUACCCCAGAAAAACACACUGAGUAGUUUUAGGUUGUAAUUUGGAAGUGUUAUAGGGCUUUAGUAAAGGAAAACACGAACACCUAAAAACUCUAAGAUGAGUAAUCACAGGAGAUUUACCAAAUAGUAACUCAAAUGGAGACUUAUGAUUUAAAACUGGUGUAGGCAUCCUAUUGAUUAAAUAGGCAGCAACCUGACAAGCAAAAGACCAAAACUGAGAAGGAAGCUUAGCAUAUUGCAGCAAGGUAACAGUAGUUUCUAUAAGAUGCCUAUGUUUUCGUUCGGCUAAGCCGUUUUGCUCAGGAGUGUAUGGACAAGAAAUUUGAUGUAACAUCCCUUUGACUUUGAGAAAAGCUUGUAGUUUAUGACUUAUAUACUCUCCCCCACCAUCUGUUUGUAGUACUUUUAUGCGCAAACGGAAGCGAAUUAUAACAAAGUACCUAAUAUCCAUGUUGUAGGUGAAAGCUAAAACAAACAAUCUCAAACUAACACAAGAGAUUUACGUGGUUCGGCGUAAAGUCUACUCCACGGGCGAAGCACGGCGAUGAAUUUCACUAAACAAAUGGAGAUUACAAAAGAGUGUUUAAACUUUCACAACCCAAAUCCCACAAAUUACGAACCCUAAACCAAACGAGUAGAGAAUCCAAAGCUAACGGAGAAGAUUCUCCCAAAUUGCUCUCUAACUCACAAACUCACAAAUUGACUCUCACCAAAUUUGCCAAAUGAAUGAGUCAUGAAUUUGCCACACUUAUGACUCCAAACAGUGACCUCCAUCCAAAACCAAAAUAGAGAAAAGCUCUCUAAACCAUGAUGAGGCACACUAAAUACACUAACCCUAAGGUCCUAUUUAUAGUGCAUAGGACUUAGGUUACAAUAAGAAUCCUAAUAGGAAAUAAAUCCAAAUCCUAAUCAAAUAGGUAAUUAACAAAAUCUCUUCAUCAAGGAAACUAACUAAGAAGUCAAAACCAAACCCAAAUAGGACACCAAAACCAAAUAGGUAACACAAACCUAAUUUAUUGCAUCAUCCUAAUUUUGAGCCAAAAACCCAACACUGUUUGCAAAAUCUUAAUGGUUGCAGAAAACUGAGCUUUAACAAAGGCAUAAAAGGAGACAAAUGUAUCAAAAAAGUCAGAUUUAUUUAUAAGUGGGAACACCCAACAAAAUCUAGUACAUUCAUCAAUGAUAGUUACAUAGAAUUUGAAACCAUCAAUUGAAUUAUAGGGUGCAGGGCCCCAAAGAUCACUGUGUACAACUUCAAAAGGUAUUUGAUAUUGAUGAGUACUAGAUUGAAAAGGCAAUUUUGUAAACUUUCCUUCUAGGCAACUAUGACAGACUAUUGGUACAUCAUCCUUGGAACACCUAAUAUUAGCUUUAUUUAGUAUAGUAGAAACAAUAUUAUUGGUAGGGUGACCUAACCUACUAUGCCAACGAGAUGAACUAAUGAGCUGUCCCAGAUAUGCAGAAACCAUGAUGUUUGGCAAGGGAUGGGAUGGGAUAAAGUCCAUUACUGCAUAGCCCUUUGUAGAGGAUCCUCCCUGUGGCCUUGUCUUGAAUCCAAAAACAGAAUGCAUCAAAAAUCAACCAGCAGUUGUUAUCAAGACAGAUUCUAUGCACUGAUAAUAGAUUCUGAGACAAUUUGGGCACAUAAAACAGAAUUUAAUUUGAUAGGAUGAACUGGUGUAUGAAUAACAGUGCUGCCAACAUGAGAUACUGUCAAACCUUCUCCAUUAGCAGUUUGAACGGUCUCAUUGGUUGGAUAUGGAGAGGCUAAAGACAAGUUACUGAGAUCAGUGGUCAUGUGAUUCGUAGCCCUAGAAUCAGCAAGCCAAAGUUGAGGGGAAGGCUGAGAGGAAGAUGCCUAAGAAGAUGAUGAAACCAUUGUAUGCAUGGCUUGCAUUGCAGGCUGAGAAGGAAACUGAGGUGCUGAAGGAGCAUAGGAAUACGGAGCCAUGGAUGGUUGAUGUGGACCAAUGUAUGAAGGACCCUUAUCAUUGUAAAAGCAAAACCAAGUUGUGUGGUUAUUCUUUCCACAAAUCUGACAACUAGAUUUAUCCACUGUCUUGGAGUGACAAAAUGGUGCAGUAUGACCAUAUGCAUUACAUAACUGACAAAACACAGAUUGAGCAAAAGGCACGGCUAGAGAUGGACCAAGAACACCGGAAGUAGGGACAAGAGUCUGAUUAAAGAACUGUUGUCUUGAUGCAGGAUACCGAUACCCUGGAUUGAACUUUCCUUUACCCUUCUGCCUAUUAUUGGUAAACUGUCUGAAACCACCAUUAUGACCAUUAGAUGAUCCAUUAUAUGAACUAUAAGACACAUGACCAGGAUGAGAUUGAGUAUGAUAAGAGGAAGACUUAGGUUCAGAUAUGACAUUGGUAUUGGCAACCAUGGCAGACAAAAACUGAGAUGAGACAUUGCUCUCCACAAUUAGUUCUUCUGCGAGUAAUUGAGACCUAAAGUCUUUAAGAGAAAUGACACUUUCCCUUCCUCGAAUAACACAUCGAAAAGUAUUGUACUCAAGAGGUAAGCCAUUGAGUACCAAUAUGACAAUAUCCUCAUCAGCAAAGUAAACUCCAGCAGCAGACAAGUAAUCUCGAGCCUCCUUAAUUUGCUGCAAAUAUUUAGACACAGAAUCUGAUCGUUUCUUAAUGGUUUGCAGAUUUGAUUUCAUCUGAAAUAUGCUGGUUCUUGAAACAGUAGAAAACUGUUCUUUCAAUCGAUUCCAAAGAUCACAGGCACUAGAACUUCCAAUAACACAUGAAAUGGAAGCAGGUGAUAAAGUUGCACUAAUCAGUUGCAUCAAUGCUCGAUCAUGCAGUUUCCAAACAACGUAUGCAUCAUUCUCAAUUUGAGAAGAAGAAUUACCAGAUACUAUACCAAAUUCACUUGAAUUAACAAGAAAUCGAGGAUGACAGAGAUUAGAACCAUCAACAAACUGCAUAAUCCCAUGACCUUUCUAACAACAAUUGCAUUUGAAAUUGCCAAUUCAAGUAAUUUGUAUCAUCAAGCUUAAUAUUCACAGAAGUAGGAAUUGUGGAAAUAAGAGCAGUAAUUGGAGAUUGAAGAAUCUGAAGUUGUGAUGCAGUUACCAUAUUCGCAAUUUUCGAAGAACAACUUGUCACUUAGACACCAAAACAAACACCUGGUGUGCAGCAAAGAUUCAACACAACGUCAAAGAUCCCAACUUGCAGCAAACCCUAGAAAUGGAGAGAAGAAGAAGAGUGCACUCGUACAGAGAAAGAACACAAGCACGAGUAGCAACAAAGCCGAGAAACGGAGAGAAGAAGACUGGCAAUCGUAGAGGUUAUAUCAAUUUGGAGAAGCGAAAGUAAUCAGAAGGAUCGAACAGAGUAGCGUUAGCUGAUCCGGCGAUUCAUACCAUGUUAAUAUGUAUGCAGAUAUAUCAGAAAGAGAAUUAUCAAGAACUUAGAGAGAGAAAGUAAGAAGAGAGAGAGAGAUGAAUAUCUUGUGUUGAAUAUUACUUACUCAUGAAGUCAUUACAUUUAGACUUAUAUAGAAGCUCAAAUACAUGUAACAAACUAACUAACUAAAUGCACAAUCUAUUGACAAGUGUCAUAAUCCCACACACUAAUAUAUAUCCUAACAGUUUUCACUUUUCACCAUGUUGUGAUCACCUUGGAUAGAAAGAACUAUGUGAAACACUCGCAACUGAAGAAGCACCAUCUGCAUUUAGAGGGUAACAUUGGUCGUCGCCGUGGUCAUUGAGUUCCAUGGUCUUUUCAUCUAUAAAAGGUGGAUUGGUGGGCGCAGGUAGGUGCAGCUCCUUCUUUGUUAGCAUCUGCAGCGCCUUUGACAUUGUUGGUCGUAAAGAGGAACUCUCUUGGGUGCAUAGAAGUCCUAUCUGAACCACUCUGAAUAUCUCAUCCUUAACAUUGUCAUGGCAAUUCUGCAACAUUAAAUUUGGGUCGUACAGUUCCUCUACAGUCCCUGCUUGAAAGUGCUUCCAGGUCUGUUUGGACAAAAAACACAGGAACAACGAAGUAAGAAUGGGGAUCUACUGUAUACUGCAAAUUCGAAGAUCAAAUUGUUUUAUGAAUGGAAGAAAAGGAAGAAUUUAUUGGGAAAUUUACAAUUGUAACUAUGCCAUCUGAGUACUCUGCAGAUUUGCUCCUGUUGUUCUGCCUUCCAGUGAUGAUCUCCAAUAUAAGCACUCCGAAGCUAUAGACAUCUGCCUUUUCUGUCAACUGGCCAUGAGCUAGGUAUUCUGGAGCCAUGUAUCCCCUGAGGUAGGUUAGAAACAACGGUAAGCUCAACUUUUUUCAGUCUUAUUCAUUUAUCUUCGCUAAAAUAACACGAAAUGAAUCUACUAUAAAUAGGCUUACAAUGUUCCUGCAAUUGCUGUGCUGAUGUGACUCUUAUCUUCCUCGAAAGACCUGGCCAAACCAAAAUCUGCAAUUUUAGCACGAAGCCUUGAAUCCAAAAGUAUAUUGCUCGCUUUUAUGUCUCUGUGAAUGAUCCUUGUUUUUGAGUUGUCGUGAAGGUAGGCUAAACCUUCUGCUGUUCCGACAAUGAUAUCAUAUCUCCUCUCCCAGUUAAGUGUUUUAGCUCUUUCUUGAUCUGUCGAAAUUUGUUGAAAACAUUGAGGGGAAUGCAGAAACAUGCACAUACCACCUAGUUAAGAUUUGUAUAAAUUAGCAUAAAUCUACGUAAUUACCGAAGAUGAAGCGGUCAAGACUCCUGUUCGGUAGGUAUUCAUAGACGAGAAGGCUUUCAGGUCCCGAGCAACUGCAGCCUAACAACCUGACCAAGUUUCUGUGUUCCACGCUGCUUAUAAUGUUGAUUUCAUUGUAGAAAUCUGCUGCUCUGUGUCUGUUGUUGAAGAAAAGCCUCUUCACUGCAAUCUCUCUCCCAUCAGCCAGAACUCCCUGCAAGGAGAAACCCCAGUUAGUUUCCGAGUACAGAGGCAUCAGACAUUUAAGACAAACAAAAGACAUGGAGACAAACUACCUUAUAAACAGUUCCGAAACCUCCUUGUCCAAGCUUGUUGACAAUGUCAAAAGACCCCGUGGCCUUUUCAAUUGUUGAGUACUUGAAGUUUAAGCUACUGUCGUUUAGGGUUUUCGCCCACUUCUCUGCAUCAUAUGAUCCUGCAAAACCCCGAAAUUCUUUAGCAGUCCGGUAAUCUCUUACAUUUAAUAUACCAUUUUGUCGAUCACAGAUGUUCUUUUAAUUUCACCAUUGAAGCAAUACAGUCUGAUAGCAUUGCAGAAUUUCUACUAGCUUUUUACCUCUUCUUUUCUUUUGUAUAUAUCUGUGCUUCCAGAUAUAAAAUCCGAUGGCUACUCCAACUACCAAAACUACCAAGGAGCUGACAACUGCAACUACUAUGACAAUAGUGGUACCUGCAACAAAGUUCCGAAGAUUAGGCGAGCAAAACUACACACCAGGCUCAGUCUCGAACCACCGAAGCACCCUACCAUCCCCUCGCUUAAAGUGAUUAAGGGGAAUCUAUGUUAAAUAGAAGGGGUAGAAAUUUCAUGUACCUCUGGAGCUUCCAUUUCCCAUUUCCUUGUUGAGAAAAUCUCUGUCUGAAUACCUCAUAAAGCACCCGGUGUACAACGCUCGCCCCUCGGACCAAGGCAAGCAUCCCAACAUUGAUGCAGAUGCAUUUUCCAAACACUGUCUGCAAGAGCUCUCAUCCAAAGUUCUCCAGCAAUCAGCCAACACAUAAGCUGACUCGUUUGCCAUCCCACUCACGCUCACCUCACCCCUUGCAUAUCCUCGGUUGCUUGGCGCAGACUCAACCGCACGCUUCACAACCUGCCUUGCCGAGGCUCCGAACGCCGAACUCUUCCUCGUGGUGUUCCCACACUCAACACUAUCUUCCGAUCCUCUAAACUCCUCGUAAAAGCUAUAGUUUUCAGACCUCAUGAAGCAACCGUCGAGGAAAAUCCGACCCCCAGUGUGAGGAAAACAUUGGGGAAGCACUGUACGCGCCUCGGCGUAGCAUAGCACACAGUCUAGAAGAGAAAGGUCUCCAUAGCAUUGAGCUAGGCCGUAGUUGGUGUCGGGGCCUGAACCGGUGACUGCCACUCCGAAGCCGGAAGUUUGCAUUUGUUCACUGAUGUUUGCCAUAUUGCUGACAAAAUUCGGAACAAACACGGUUGUGUUGUGCUCACGUUGGUUGGCGCACAUUAUUUGGACCGUCUUCGUUCUUGGAUCUCCGACAGCCAUUCCUAGUAACAGCAGGAUCUUCAGCGGAAGCAAAUGUUGGGAAAGAAUUGAAACGUUGCAUUUCUUCAUUUUUUUUUGGGAUGAAUUGGAAGUUUGAUUUAAUUUGCAGCUGCCUCCAUCCAAAUUUAUAUGAAGGAAUGUCGUGGAAGAAAUAAGGAUUGCUGUCAAUUGGGCAAAUGGGGGAAUUAGGAGUUACAGAAGGACAUUUGGCACAAAAGUAGCAAUGCAACCUGGACGAAAAAGAAAAGAUAAAAACAAACUAAAACCAAACUUGGUUUUGAAGUGGAUAAAUUGCAUUGAGAUUUAGGCACCGUCCUUAAAGUCAAAAGGGCAGGUCUUGGAUUUGGGUUUGUACCCAAAACUUGUAGUAUGCAGUCCCAAGUUUCUUCCUUUGUCUUCACAUUUUCACAGACAAUUUAAACAAGAAACGUUUCUGUAAUCAGCCUCCUGAAACUGGAGGUAGACUUACCUACGCCCUCAGAUGCCAUUGGGACAACUUGAACUGAUAAUACAGUGUCAUGUUCGAAACGAUACACAAGACACUAUGAUAUUGAUAUUGAUAUUGAUACUGAUAUGAAACAAGACACAUUGCUUUUAUGGUUGAUUUGGGAUGAAAUCCUAAGUGUAGGUAAGUUCUGACUUUAAAAUUGAACGAUGAUUUUUAUGACACGAAUAUAACGUCAUGUUGACACGAAUGGUGAUAUCUCGUAAACAAUAAAAUAUUGUUUGUAAGUUUCUCAAGAGACCCCGAUAAGAGUAAACAGUGUAGCCCCUCCCAGAAAAGUUGCCAUCUUGAAAAUUGGCUUUUGGAUGAAAUCUACACAAAAGACAAGGCCAUGAGGUGAAGACAGCACGGAACAUAACAACAAGUGGAUCCCACAUGGGCCCCACAAGCAUUCCCAAUUUGGACCCCGCAAUUUGGAUUGAAUGUGAAAGAAGGUCGAUUCCAGAGAUAAAAGGUCUGCAUUGAAUUAUAGAGGGAGGGAGGAGGUGUGAUUCCCUGUAACCCACAUAAAUAUCCAACCAGAUGAGACCCCACCAAUCCCUACCUACCAUCGUCCCAUGACCUCCAGCCAGCCCGCCAUUGCCAUUUGCCACCAACAGCUAACGGUCAACGUCUAAACUGCUAACGUUCUAUACUGGUCUCCGGUGACGACUCAAAUCAAGAUGUUAGGCAGCUAGCUUAAUACUGUACUGAUAUUGUAGAAAAUUUAGUGAUUAGUACUAAUAACAUGUCGAUACAUUUUUUAUUCAGCGACAAUAAUAUUAACAUAUUAUCAAUGACAUAUGAUCAAUCCAUUCAUAGCAGCUUGCUCGAGAAACAUGAGAGCAUCGGCAGUCAUCAAUAGGGGCACCUAGACUGAACAGCUAAUAAAUGCAAAAAUAAAGGAUUUUUCCCUACGUCCAUAUUAGCUGCAGCCAGCAGGGAUAGACCGGAGUAUAAUUGAAUUUUUUCGAGUUAUAUCCUAAAUAAAGGGUAUGAAUUGCAGAUAGAAAUAUGUAUAUAACUAAACUGUCAAGGAAUUCUUACCAGAAUUUGGUUCAGAAAUCAAUCCAUGAGAGAAGAAAAGAAUGAAGAAGUUGUAGGCAAAGUUUUGAGUGCAUGAAAAUUGGAUUUUUUCCUUAAACACGAGACCUAUAAAUAUUUAUGUACACGUACCUUCUGUUUAUGCAUUGGAUCAGUGAAACUAUGAGUUUCUGCAGGUGAGGUGAGAAGCUUAAUCGAGGACUUCUGGCUUCUGGUUUUUGGCUUUUGGCUUCUGCUGUUGUGAAAUGAAUUAGCUAGCUAAAGAGAGAAAAGCCAACUCGAAGAAGAAUAUGUUCAGAUGAGAAGUCAAGAAUGAUCUACGGCUGUACUGGAAAAGUUUCCUCUUUGCUAUUCAACUUCAAACUUUCAAAUCAAAAGACUGAAGACUGAAGACUGAAGACUGAAGGAGGAGAAAUUGCAAACCACGCGGUGUUGGACCGAAAAGCCGACAGCUAUAUCACACACACACGCAAACAUGUAUACAUAUAUGUGUAUAGGAGGAGGGAUAGCUAUGUCCGGCAGUAGUUGCUGCAUUUGACUGUUGUGAGAAAUGAAUGUCUCCAUUUAACAGUUUUACCCUAAUAAUAAUAAUCUCUUGUGAUGUGUCUGGGAUUAGUUUUCAUGGUUAAAUAAAGUGAGAGUUGACAAUUGAAGCUUUUUGUUUUUUCUUCAUAAAAUACCAGCUUGGUUU
rnacentral:lncRNA from 1 species